rnacentral:lncRNA from 1 species
UUUUUUUUUUUUUUUGGUAACAAUGUAAUAUAAAUUAUCAGUAAUAUAUCUAAUUUUAUAUAACUGUAAGCGCAUGCGAGAUUUUGGUAGUUAUAAGUUUAGGUGCCACAAAGACAAACGAAUUUCGAGAUGAACAAACCCGGUACAAAAAUAUAAUAGAAAUACAUAAAAAAAAUUCGUGAGUAGAGCCUCAAAACCAUAAUCAAAACAUAUCCUGAAGAUUCGGGACGUGCCUUCUAGAUAAACAACUAAUACUAGAUGAACAAGUAUGACGGAUACUCUGCUUUUUCCUCUUUCUCUCUCACUCUUACUCUGUCUUUCUUCAUCAGACCAAAAAAAACCCUAAUUUUUUACCAAAAAAAAAAAAAAAAUAGAACAAGUAUGACGGAUGUGGCUUCUAGUGCAUGCAAGAUUUUGUAGAGUUUGAUUAAAAAUUUAAAACCAAAUAAAGGUGAAGAUUUUGUUGAGCCACAAAAAAAAAAAAGGGAAUGCAUGUGUGUAUAGGCCUAAUUUAAAUUUUCAUAUAUAUAUAUAUAUAUAUAUAUAUAUAUAUAUAUAUAUAUAUAUAUAUAUAUAUAAAUCUAUUGGUUUCCCUUUACUAAUAAAUUCGCGUAGUAGAGGGGAACAUUGUCGGAUGAUGCAAAAUUAAAAUAAUAUACCUAAGAUUCAUGUAUUCGUUAUGCUUUUUGUUGAUAUAUACAUAUAAAGGAACAAAAAUUUCUCCCUACGACUCCCCCCCCUUACCAUAAAACAAUUAACAUUAAAAAUCUAAUUCCCCAUCGAAAUCAUAACUUGUUUUAUCUAUUCUUCAGACCGAACCGGCAAUAUAUUGACAAACAAUUGUUGAAUUUUGAGCUCGUCAAAACCACUUUCCCCAACAUUAAAAUUUUCGGCGACUUUGCUACCGGCAGGCUAUUGUCAACAAAAUGUAGCGACACUUGGCUCGCCAUGGUUCAUGCUCCUAGAUCAAUUAAUCUAUCAAAUAUAAAAAUAAUGGGAAACGCGCGUCUCAUAUUUGAAAUCAUCCACACAAUAGAAUGUAUAAUAACAAUAAGAUCAUUGUUACAAAACAAACGUAAAUAAAUUCAUAAAGUUUCAGCAUGACAAAUCUAGUAGCUUUAGACUAAAAUGGACCAUCAUACGAAGGUUGGAGAUAAAUCUGGAGAUCUGGAGAAAAUCUUAUUAUCUCCUCAAAUAUCAUCUUUUUGUAGCCUCGAGACCAAGCAUUUUGUAUCGCUCCUUGCAGAAGACAUAAUUUUGCUUCGAAUCCCGUGUUAACUGACUAGAAAUUUUAAUUAUAUAUGUUGUCCACCGUACAUACACGUUUCUUUAUCAUCUAUAAAAAUCUUAUAAAAUCUUAUCUAGUGUCCACAUUUGUAUUCAUAUAUAUAGUUACAAAUUUGAAGUGUGAGAUGUGAAAUAUAUAUAUACACACAUGGUCCAUGAAUAAAAAUAUAACUAGUUAACUACGUGUUUUUUAUUUUUGGGUUCAAAAACUACGUGCGUAUGUAAUACAAAGAUUAGCAAUCCACGUUAACUUAAUAAUAUACGAAAAUAAUUCCAAAAAAAAAAAAACUAAAUAUCGGAACGUAGAUCGUUCUUCGACCGACCAAUUUUUUCAUAACAUGCACACCUUUAUUUGCGUGCCUGACAGAAGCUUACUUUAUAUAGAUUUACGUUGGCAAUUUCCUAAUUGAGCAAUCUUGAUAUAUUUUUUUUCAUCUAAAUUUAUUAUUUAUUGCAAAUUAUGCGAACUGUUACAUAGACGAUUUUACAACGGACAAUUCUUUCUGACCUUUAUUAGAUCCACGAUAGACGACACUUCUUUCUUCAUGCUCUUGACGGACACCUUCAAUGAUUGAUGACCUGACGACAUUUUUCUCUUUGCGUAGAAUUCUGGCGAACGGCUAUAAUUGUACAUCGUUGGAGAUCUCCUGCACACUUGCCUUCAUUAAUCUACAAAUUUAUUAAUAAAUCGCACAAUCUGAAACUCGAACCCCAGACCUCUUGGUAUAAAAGCAUUAAUUAAUCAGUCAAUCAAUGGACCAAAAGAACUUCUACAUAAAAUCUUGGUAUAUCUUUUGUUUUUUUUUAAUUGAAUAAACAAUUAUAUCUCUUUGAUUGAUUUAUUAUUGCCUUAAAAAAUAGAAUAUUUUGAGGGGAGAUAGGAAGGCGACAAAUGAUAUAUGGGCACCAUAACGAUCAUUGAUUAAUAAUUUAAUAGACGUAUCUUUAACAAAAACAAAUUAAUAGACGUACCAAAAAAGGUAUAUCUUUGUCACAACUGAUACGAGGGGAUUAUUACAGAUUUUGCCUUUUUUAUAAUGGCAUUUAUGGAUUUUGCACUUUUUUGAAAAGUUUAUGGAUUUUGCCCUUUUUUAAUACUUAAAAAUGUACGUAUUUAUGAUUUUUUUUGCAAAAAUACGUAUAUUAUACCAAAUACUAAACCCUAAGAACAAAUGGAACAAAUGGAACCCUAAAAACAAAUGAAACGCAUGUUAAAUCAUAUUUUUGGAACCUAAAAAAAGGGCAAAAUCAAUAAACUUUUCAAAAAAUGGCAAAAUCCAUAAAUGCCAUUAUAAAAAAGAGCAAAAUCCGUAAUUAAUUCCUGAUACGAGUUAUGUCCCGUUUCAUCAAUUCUACCCUUUUCGCAUUAAUUUCUUAGUGACAACACAACGUAAAAGACUUUAUUGAGUCAGUUCGCUAUAUUGUCGAUAUAUGGCCAGUAUUUUUGUACAUUUAUGUACGCAUACGCAUACACGAAGCCACACUUUCUCUAUUGUUUUUGUUAAGACUCUUUAUGACUCAAUGUAUGAUGUAUCUAUUUAUGUUAUAAGAGAGGAAACAAAUUAGAUAAACUGAGGGUAAGUUUUUGGUUAGAUAAGUAUAAUUCCAAAAUAUAACUCAGUUUCUAUUAUUCGUGACCAGAAACAAAGGACUAUAAACCGCACUAAUCUGCAUUUUCCAAAACUAUAUUAGUCUUUUAAAUGGAUAAGAAUAGCAACAGGAGAUCGAUUGCAACUGCAAGAAAAAUUAAACGUUAAUAUCCUGAAAACUGAAAGGUUAAUAAUUUCAAUAUCUCCUUUGAUAAAACCAAAAAAAAAAAAGUAAAAAAUAUCUACAUUCGGACAAGGCUGCCUGAAAAAGAUGAUGUAACUUCUACGUACUUGCUUAAUUACGUAUACAAACUAUCUACACAUAUGAAUUUCUUUAAAGAUAUUAGUUAUGCAUAUAUAUUGUGUUAUAUAUAUAAGGAUAAAAUAAAAUAACUUCACAAAAGUGGUGUCAAUUAAAUAAAGUUCAAGCCUAACGCCUAACCAUGGCGGAGAGAACUUUAAGAAUCGUGUAAGGAUAAUUUACAUGUGGCCAGCUUCGCACACGUGUCCACAUAUCUCCCUCUACACGACUUUUAUAUUAACUUUCAUAAUCUGAAUGUUAAUUCUCAUUAAUGAAUCAUAGUAGCUACAUUGAGUAUUUAUAUGUACAUGUGUAUAUGAAAUUAAACUAAGCUAAAGGAGACUUAGUAAAACUCUAUAUACUUAGAUAUGCUAAUACACCCCCGUCAAGCCGAAUCAUCCUUUGGAGAGAAAAGGCUUGAGACUGACAUACGGCUGAGAAGGCCAUGAAACGGACCCGGAUGUAAAGGCUUCGUUAAUAUAUCGGCCAACUGAUUCCCUGUAUCAACAUGAAGAACAUUCAAGAAUCCAUUCUUCACUUGAUCUCUUGUAAUGUGACAAUCAAUCUCCACAUGCUUUGUACGUUCAUGAAACACUGGAUUGUUGGCAAUAUAGGUAGCUGAUUUGUUGUCACAGAAUAACUUUGCUUGUGAUUCCACCUGAAUGUGUAGAUCCUUUAAAAUCUGACUGAACCACAUCAACUCUUUUGUUGUGAUUGCCAUACUUCGAUAUUCAGCUUCUGUACUACUUGAGCUACAAACAUCCUGCUUCUUAGACUUCCAAGUAAUGAGAGAAGUACCUAAGAAAACACACAUGCCUGUUACUGAAGCCUAGUAUCCAAACAGGUUCCCCAAUCUGCAUCCGCAAAACCAUUCAAGCAUAAGGCUGUUGAAGCAGAAUAGAAAAGGCCUUGUCCUGGAUUAUUCUUGAGAUACUUCAACACAUUCUGACCAGCAUGUAGAUGAACAUCAGUUGGACAAGAAAGAAAUUGACUCAGGCGAUUAACUGCAUAUGUUAUAUCUGGUCUUGUUAUACAAAGAUAUAACAAUCGACCAAUCAACUCUCUGAAAGGCUUUGCAUCUUGUAGCAGAGUACCUGUUUCCUUAUUCAGAGGAACCUUUGGAUCCAUAGGGACUGACUUAGGCUUACAGCCUAGCAAACCAUAAUCAGCAAGUAAGUCAAGGCAGUAUUUCCUCUGACAAACUGAAAUUCCCUCUGAAUUUCUUGCUAUUUCUAGGCCUAAGAAGAAACAAGCUGCACCAAGAUCUUUCGUUUUAAACUGUCUAGCUAAUGUAGCUUUUACUGAAGUCACAGCAUCAUCAUCAUUGCUAGCAAUCAAGAUAUCAUCCACAUAAACAAGAAGUGCAAUGAAAGAUGUACCUUUGAUCUUGACAAACAAUGUAUUAUCAGCAUAAGACUGUAUGAAUCCAUCAUCGAGAAGAGCUUUAGAAAGGCACUUGUACCAUUGUCUGGAGGCCUGUUUGAGUCCAUAUAUGGAUUUGUGAAGCCUGCAGACUGGAUUACUCGGUAAAGAUCCAGACUUAGGUGUAUAACCAUGCGGCAAGCUCAUAUAAAUCUCUUCUUCAAGGUCACUGUGGAGAAAAGCAGUAGUAAUAUCCAUCUGACAUAAACUCCAUCCUUUCUUUGCUGCCAAACCUAAGAUCAAUUUCACACUAGCUAGCUUAGCAACAGGUGAAAAAGUAUCAAAGUAAUCCACACCUUCCUGUUGUGUAAACCCUUUGGCAACUAAAAGGGCUUUAUAUCUUUCUAUAGAGCCAUCAGCAUUGUAUUUUAUCGUAAAAACCCACUUACAACCUACCAUAUUUUUCCCUGGUGGUAAAGAGACCACACUCCAAGUCUUGUUAAGUUCCAUAGAGUCUAGCUCCACAUCCAUUGCCUUUGUCCAUUUCAGUGAUGUUAUGGCUUGUUUAAAGGUUUUGGGUUCUGUUUCUAUGGAAAUGGAGAAAAUAAAGGCUUGAUAUGGUGUAUUUAGGGAAUUGUAAGAGAGAAAAGAUGAUAAGGGAUAUGGAGUAGUAACAAGUUUUGUGGUGAUGAUUGGUAUAGAAGAAUCACAAGUAAUUUUGGGUGAAGUUUGAAAUAAAGAACAGUGGUAGUCGGAUAAGUAACCUGGAGCUUUAGAUGAACGCUUUGGCCUAGCAUUGUGUGAUGAAACAGGGACUGUCUCUGCAGUGACAAUCUCAGAAGAAGAAUUUGUGUUGCUAGAGUGUGAAUGAUUAGUAGCACUGUGAUGAGAUGAUGACGAUGGAUGCAAUGAUGUAGAUGCAACAGGACAUGGAACAUCAAUAUCAACAGGAGUCGAUAAAGGUAAAAUUGGAUCUCCAAAGAUAUCAUGAGCAGGUUUAAGAUUAUUAUCAGUGAGAAAAGGAAAUUCUUGUUCAUGAAAAAUCACAUUCCUAGAAACAGAGACUAUAUUGCUAUCGAGAUGUAAAACUUUAUAGCCUUUGUAACCAUUAGAAUAUCCUAGAAAAACACAUUUAUCAGCUCUUGGACUAAAUUUAUGUCUAUCUUUCUGUAAAGUAGAAACAUAGCAUAAACAACCAAAGUUUCUGAGGAAUGAAUAAUCAGGAGCCUUCUUAGUUAACAAUUCAUAUGGAGAAAGAUUUUUUAAAAGUAAAGAUGGUGUUCUAUUUAUAAGAAACACAGCAGUAAGAAUGCAAUCACUCCAGUAUGAUAGAGGAAUAUUUGACUGAAAAAGUAAAGCUCUUGCAACAUUCAAUAAGUGUUGAUGCUUAUGUUCUACGACUGAGUUUUGUUGAGGAGUGUAUGCACAAGAAAACUGAUGUAUCAUGCCAUGAUCAUUAACCAAUUCAGUAAAAGCAAGUUCCGGAGCAUUAUCAGUUCUAAUUGCUUUGAUUGUAGACUUAUAUUGAUUCUGAACAUGCUUAAUGAAAAUAGGAAAUUGCUUUAAAACAUCACUUUUAUUUCUUAACAUAUAAAUCCAAGUAGCCCUUGUACAAUCAUCAACAAUAGUGAGAAAGUAUUUGUAACCUUCUACAGACUCUAUAGCAAAUGGACCCCAGACAUCUAAAUGAACUAAAUCAAAUGGAAGUGAAGACAUGUGAUUAUUGGACUCAAAUUUUAAUCGUUUCUGCUUUGCUACAGGACAAACAUGACAAACAUCAUUAGAAAAACUAGAACUAGGGAAAGACAAUGUACCAGACAUGAGUUUUAACUUGUCAGUAGAUGGAUGACCUAGGCGUUGAUGCCAAAGGUGACCAUUAACCUUCAAGGAUCCAGAGAAAUGCGAUGAAGUGGAAGCAACUGCAGGGGAAGAUGAUGUAUGGAGUGAAAUAUGAGGCUGUAAUAUGUAUAGAUUGUGCAGCAAAUAUCCUUUACCAAUCAUCAAUCCCUGAAUAUACUCCUGUAUAUAACAAAAGUCAGGGAAAAAAUGAGCUGAACAAGUACUAGAUUUUAAAAGACUACUAACAGAGAUUAGAUUGAAUUUAAAAGAUGGAACAUGCAAAACAUCAUGCAAUAUGAGUGAAUGGGAUAAAUGCACAGUGCCACAGUGAGUUAUAUCCACUCUAGCUUCAUUAGGGAGUGAGACUGUCACUCCAGAAACCUGUGCUGUUUCAUGAAACAAUGCUAAAUCAGAGCACACAUGACUAGUUGCUCCACUAUCAAUUAUCCAGCUACCAUGAGGAAUUUUUGAAGAUAGAGUAGAAAGACAUUGGUGUUGAAAAGUGAGAGUAUUGUUUUCAAAACGAAGUGAGGUUGAAGGGAAUUUAUUUGGAAAGAUUUGUGGAUAAGAAACUAUACCAGAUGAUGAUUGAGGAUCCAUAACACCUUUUUCUGUAAUAGACGAGACAGGUGGGGAAGGAGCUUGAACCUCUGAAACUUGAACACGAGCAUUGAGUUGUUGAAUCAAUUGUUGUACUUGGUCACCACUCAUUUGAUUAACAUCCAUAUUAGAUACUUGAACUGCAGGAGGAGGCAUAUACUGGAAAGAUGGUCCAGUCAUGACAUUAGCCACUGCAUGAUUCUGAAAACGAGGUUGAUUAACUAUUGUCUGUCCUCGAGUCUGAAACUGAUUUGCAGGUGACUGGAAUGGUGUAAUAGCCUGAAACUGUUGAGAAGUUGGCCUCUGGUAUGAUUGAAAACCAGCAUUACUCUUGAAUCCAGGGAUAUAGCCUGGUGGAUAACCAUGAAGUUUAUAGCACCUUUGAAUUACAUGACCAGUCUGUCCACAAUGUGUGCACAGGGGUCUUGAUGAUCUUGGCCUGAAACUGUUCUGUACAGCACAAGCAGUAUUCUCAUAAGGACCAGAAUAAGCAGUCUGAUCAUUAGUGUUCAUAUGCUGAACAUUAUCUGAAGCUUGAAAAAUCACAUUCUCAGGUUUAGGCUUGAUGUUCUUCUGCCUUUCAUCCUGAGUUACCAUAUUAAAAACAUCCUCAAUGCUUGGAAUAGGCUUCAACAUCAGAAUGUGUCUCCGAGUAGACUCAUAUGAUUCAUUAAGUCCCAUCAGAAAUUUGGUGACACGGCUUCGAUGUUGUAGCUUCUCCCAUAGCCCUGCAGCGUUACACUCAUAUUUGCCACAAGUACAAACAGGCAAUUCCACAUAAUUUCGAUAUUCCUCCCAAAGAGUAACAAGUUCUGUAUAGUAAGCACUAACAUCAAGAGAUCCUUGUUGAAUGCUACCUAAUCGUUGUUCAAUCUCAUAAACACAAGGAGCAUCAUCUUGUUUGAAUCUUGAUAACAGACUAUUCCAUAUUCCUUCAGCAGUAGGUAUGAACAAUAAGCUUUGACCAAUUUUCUUCGAAACAGAGUUCAUAAUCCAUGUUGCUACCAUAUCAUUGCAACGUGACCAAGAUCCGAAAUCACUAUGAUUAUCAGGGGGUUUUAAGAUAGUACCAUCAAUAAAUCCAAGCUUGUUGCGCACAUUAAGGGCCAUACGCAUCGAUCGUCUCCACGAAUGGAAGUCAGCACCAGUCGCAAGACGAUCGGAGACAAGAAUUAAACCGGCAUGAUCCGAGCGAUGUAGAAAGUAUGGAUUAUCAUAAUGAUCUGUAGAUUGAGUUUGAUUAGCAAUUGUUGAGCUAAUCGAAGAUAGAGAGAGUAGCGGAAGAUGAAGAUGAUUGAUGAUUGAUGAUAAGAUUCUUGAUUUGUGAAGAAUCACGAAGAUAAAGAAAACGGAAGGAAAAGAAGAUGAAAUCGAUGUUUGUCAAUGAAGAAUCGAAACUCAGAUGUGGAGAAUCGAAGAUUAACGAAGAAAGAAAGCUCGAAUUGCCAUGGAAAUCGACGGAUGUCGCCGGAAAAAAAAAUCAAAUUUUCCGGGAAAAUCGGAGAUGAAAUGAGAGAAAGUUAGUUAGAGACACUUUGCUCUGAUACCAUAUUAACUUUCAUAAUCUGAAUGUUAAUUCUCAUUAAUGAAUCAUAGUAGCUACAUUGAGUAUUUAUAUGUACAUGUGUAUAUGGAAUUAAACUAAGCUAAAGGAGACUUAGUAAAACUCUAUAUACUUAGAUAUGCUAAUAUUUUAGGAUUUCAAUUCCGUAUCCCAAACUGAUUCAUUUAUAUUCAUUAAUUAAAACGUUGGAUUCUCCAUUUGUAUAUGGCUCUCUUCGUAUAUCUUUACGUGUUUGGUACUGAGUAUAUGAUCAUGUUGUUCUCUUACGUGUUUUUUGUCACAUGAAAACCUCAUCAAAAUGUAAUUAAGUAUCUGUUAGGUUGUAAUUAGACGUCAAUAUUGCUAUAAUCUUUUGUGGGAAACAUAUGCCAGAUAAAUUUGGCAUGCUUUUUUUUUUUUUUGGCAGAGCAUACUUGUAAUCAAAUCCAUACUCGAUCGAUAUCCUUGAUCGUAUGGAGUGAGUGGGAUAUGAUAAGAUGGAAUUAGCAUCACUUGGAUUGCAAUGAAAGUUCGUCUCUCCACAAUUCCUCAUUUGACGAAAUUAUGGUCAAAGCGUUUUUUUUUCCAUAUUGUAUAUCUUCUAUAAUUACUAGUUAGCUUCUAUAAUUACUGGUAUACAACACGGCCAUGACAUUUUUUGUCUUUUUUGUCGGACUCAAAAUUGGUUGCCACAUUGACUGUUAGUUUUUGAGUUAAAAAACAUUUACUGCAACAAAAUAUUAUUCUUACUUCGUAUAAUAUGAGAAUAUCUUAGUAUAGGAUGUCUCAUUCGUUCUUAAUCUUAUUAUAGCUCUCUAAGAAAGUUUUUUUUUUUUCUUUCUCAUGUGAUUUAUAAUGAAUGUUUCUUCUUUUUUAGCAACAUGUUUGAUCAAGUUUUAGCAUUUGGUGACUUUUUUCAAUCAAUUUCCCUCUUUCAAUCAUUUGCGGAAAGUAAAAGUCAAACUCCAGUAUUCGUGGAUUUGCAAUUUUGCAUUGAUGGCAUCGUCACUUGUCCUAGAAAAUUCAAACACAUUUAUUUCGUUUUAAAAUACUCUCUCCGUUUCGUUUUAGUUGUCGUUUAAGGUUUUUUCACACAAAUUAAGAAAAACAUUAAAUUUUCUGUUUUACUCUUUAUUAAUAUAUUUUAUAAAAGAUUCAUUGGCCGAAACAUUAAAACAGUAAGGAUAAAACUAGAAUUUUCACAAAACAUUUACAUCGAAAACCUAAAACGACAACUAUUAUGAAACAAAAUUUUAACUCUAGAACGACAAAUAAAACGAAACGGAGGGAGCAUAAAAUAUUUUGACUAAAUACGCGGAAAUUAAAAAAUAUUUACUUUUAAGUUCAAUAAUUGAUGAAAAAUUGUAUAAUAUAAAUAAUUAUAAAAUAUUAAAUUAUUUUAAAAUUUACAUAAAAAUUUGAAAAUAUAUUAUAAUAUAAAUAAAAAUGUUUUUUGAAAUAUUUUAUAUUAUAAAAAGGAGGAAGUAUUUUAUACUGUAUAUGUUUUAACUGAAUUUUCCUGAUAUUUUUUUAUUUUUUGUUUCGAAUAUAUUUUGUCAACGUUUUCUAAUAUUUAACUUGAUUUGAUGUUGAAGACAUAAUGUAAAAAUAUAUGAUGACAACAAACUAUAUAAAUAAAUGAGAUGUGAUGAUUCGACCACCUGUCAUUAUAUUUGGGGAACAGAUUCACGAGAUUUUGAUCAAUAAUUCUUUUUUACCGAUCUGUUUAUUUAAAAAUUAUGGCGUUAUCUUAGCAUGUAAAUUGUAAUCUCACCUUUUGUGGUUACAUGCUUAUAUAAAAAAAGAAAACAUGUAGGAGGACUCGUGUCUGGAUAUGAUGUGCAAAGACAAAAGUGAGACUGCUCGCUUCAUUACUCACACUUCACAUAUUCAUCUUUACAUGAUAAAUGAUAUUAUUAGUUCUUUACUAAAAUAAAAGAAGAGUUUUAUAAUGAGUAAUCAUGCAAUUAGCUGCCUGAAACUUUUUCAGUUAACUUUUAUUGAUAACUUUUUUUAAGUAAAUAAAUUAAAGAUGAUCAAGUAGGUCGACACUUGCUAUGAAUUGCGUUUUUUAAAUGUUUUAAUAGAAAAAAAAAUUAUUUCCGUUUAAAUUACAUAAGUAAUAUAAAAUUAAACUAGCAUAUUACACAAUUAAUGUAAAUAAUGGGUACAAUCAAAUUUAACAACGAUAUUGAGCUAAUAGUGGGGGUGAUUGGUAAAGACUUUGGAGGUUUUAAAAUUUUUGAAAAGUCUUUAAAGUCAUUAUUUUUCCAAUCACACUUUAUUUGCUUUAGUUAAUUUAAAAAUCUCUACAUUCAUUUUCUUUUAUUUUACUCUUUAGUUUUAGUUUUUUUCUAAAGUCAGGUAUUCCUGGCUUUCAAAAUAAAAAUAAUAUAGGCAUAUAGUUAAUUUUAUUUUCUCUUCCCCAUGAAUAUAAAAACUCUCAUAAAAUUUUCUAAAUAACUAAUUUUAAAAAAAUUCGAGUUGAUCUACAAUGGAUUAUUUUUUCUUGUUUUAUUAAAAUCCAUUUCUCCAUAUUUUUGAUAGUUAUAUAAAAUCAUAAUUUCUACAGUCACAUGUUUUACGGUUAUAAAAAUUUUUUCAGUCAAAUAAAAUACAAUGAAUUUGAAGUCAAAUUCCUAAUAGCAAAAAUCUCUACAGCCAAAGUCUUUACAGCGAAAGUCUUUAAAGCCAAAAGUAACAAUCGUUACCAAUCGGCCCCAGUAUCUCAUACUACAGUAGAACCUCUAUAAAUUAAUACUCGAUAAAUUAAUAAACACGAUAAAUUAAUAAAUUUGGCCGGUCCCGAGUCGGCCUAGUGAAAAAAUUAACCAAAUUCGAUAAGAUAAUAAGAUAAUAAGUUUUUUGAAAUCCUUAUGUAAAAAUAUAGUCCCAAUAAUAUCAUAAAUUAAUAAUAAUGUAAAUUUGCACAUAUAUAUAUAUAUAUAUAUAUAAUAGUUUUAGUGUUUUUUCAUAAAAAUAGCUAAAAGUUUUUGUAAGUUUUCAAAUUUUGAAUAUGCAUAAUUUUUGUUUUAAUAGUCAUAUAUGUUUUUAGAAUACAACAAUGGAUGUCACUAUUUGUGAAUUUUAAUUUGUGUAUAUCGUUUGUAUAUAUGAAUUCUAUAAUCGUUGUUAUUCAUUUUCAAAAGAAAUUAUUUUUCUUCGAAAUAUUAAGUGUUUAAGGCUAAAACUAUAAAAUUUAUAGCAUCCAAAACAUUAAUCUUAUUUAAAUCACAUUGCUUUAGCUCGUAUUUGUUUUAAAAAAAAUCACAAUUAAAACAAAAUUUUCUAUAUAAAUUAAUAAAUAUUAAUUUAUAGAUAAAUUAAUAUCACUAUAAAUUAAUAAAAUAUCAUAGUCCCAACAUUAUUAAUUUAUAGAGGUUUUAUUGUAUUACUAUAUUUUUUUCAAAACUUUUUUCAGUUUUAACCAACAAAAAAGUAAUAUGAUAUAAUUUAUCCGUGUUGUAGUUAUAACAAUUAAUGAACUAAUAUAUUAUCUUAUGGUGCGAUCGUAUAAUUAAAUAUGACCUAAUCGGACAGUUACAUUUUAUCCAAUUUUGUGGAUGAAAUUUGAUUUUACAUCUUUAAUAUAACAAUCAAACAGAUAAAAAAAUGAUGCCUAAUUCAUUAUAUUUAAAUAAACGUCACUUCUUGAUACUAUUUUUUACUGCCGUCCCAAAUAAUUUACAUUCAAAGGUAUUUUUUAAGUCGACUUUGUCAAAAAUUUAAUAAUUUUUUAUUUUUGUUGUAAUAUAAUAUAAUCGGUUUUACCAAUUUAAAUAUAUUUUUAACAAAAACAUCUAGUUUAAGUAUACGCUUUUCGUACUCUUCUUUGGCAAUAGUUCUUUGGCUAGGAGGCAAUUAAUUAUGGAAUUAAUCAUAUAACCAAGAUAUUAACCAGCCAUGAAUCUUCACAUUUAAAACCAUAGAUUUCAAGACUCGGGAAAUCAUCAAUUCCAUAAAUGCAAGAAGGCAUAGUAGAAAGUUCCGUAAGCUAAUGAGUCUUUGGCUCAUUUGAAAAUCUAUCCAUGGAGAAAUGUUUACUUCCUUGUUUUUUAUUUUCUUUUUGCCUAAGAACUAAUUGUAUAGGUAAUCAAUACGUAAAACCUAACUCAUUUUAUUUUAUAUGAUAUUUAUUCAUCUAACAAAAAAGGAUAUUCAACCAGCCAUGCAAUAAUUAAUUCCAUCGAUAUUUUGUUAGUAGUAUAUAUCGUCCUCUUAUAAAAAAUCUCCACAAGUAGAGAUUUAUUUCUCGUAAGUUUUUUUAAAAACUAUUUUUUUUUUUUGUGAUAGUGUGGAAAAGUGCAAAAUAAAAAAAUCAUUUUUUUUGUUGAUAAACAUCUAUAUAUACAUUUUUGGAUGACUUUUAGCAAAUAAAUCCUGGGGUUGGGAAGUAUUUACAAAUAAUGCCAUUGGUUGGGUGGGUUUUUUUUUUAAACGAUUGACCCGGAUAUUAAGCAUCGGAUCUCUUCUGUUUCUUCCCAAAAACUACAUUAAUUUAAAUUUUCGAAUUAAAUAUUUGACCAUUUAACAAUCUUUCCAAAAUCUCUCCAUAUAACUUACACGAUUAGUUACUAAAAUAAAACCUCCGAGAUAUUUGCUAGCAUUUAAUCACUACCAAAUUAACAAUUUCCAUUUUCCUAUUUUGCAUUUCCUAUUUUAAAGAUUCGUCUCAAAAUAUUAACUCCACGAUUUGGAAACAAAUUUCAAAUCUGAUGCUCAACUAUUUGCCAUAAAAAUCUCCACAAAAUAUUGAAUCCAUUUUCUCGACAAUCUCUCGACAACAGAAACUAUAUGAUUGUAUUAAAAACGGAUUUGGUGAAUAUUCCUGAAAAAUCCGAUUCAAAAGAUUUGAUUCUAAUUCAGUUUAGGUUGCAAAUAAAUUUUACUUGGUCACCAAUAGAUUAUUGACUUAAUCGGAACUCGUCUAUAAAUACUCUCUAGCUUUACCUCUCAUCACAUUAUCAAACACACAAAGCUCAUCACAUCUCUUUGGAUUCAGAGACAGGAAAAGAAAGAGAUGAUUCCGGUUGAGAGGGUUACAUGAAGUCCUCAGAACAGCAGAGGAGACGAAGUGGUUUGUCAGAUAAGCUUGAAAUGGCUUCAAAAACUGAACUUUAAGUUUCAAAAUUUCUGGAAAUUCAAAAAAUCCUAAUCUCUAAUUGUCAUAAUGAGGAGACAAUAGAGAGAGAGAGAGGGAUUAGAUGUACCUAAGAUCACAGAAGAUUGGCGACAGAGGAAUCGCUGAGGGGUCGAGUAGUUUAAUCGGAAAUCGUAACCGACACUAUCAAGAGAGAAAAGUGAAAGUAGGAAACAACGGUUUAUAUGGUGAGCCUUGAGAGCAUCGUCGACCAAUAAAGAUGGACGACGUCAUGGGAAUCGCCGGAAAAAAAGAAAGAGAUUAGCUUCGAGGACGAAGCAAUGGCGAUUUUGGUUUCGACGGAGAAAGAGAAAGCCACAGAGGAUUCGUAGGCAUCGGGUUCAGAAGCUUAGCCUGCCCGAGAAUUCGCUGACGAACGUGGUGUUGGCCGGAGUUACCGUUGUCAGAAUCAUGGUCAGUUUUGCAUUGAAGAAAUCGAAGAAGAUGCUUCGUUAUCAUCGUUGGGGAAGAAGCAAAGUAAAAGAGGAAAAAAAGUUUUGUUGGGUUGGGCCUGUUAAAGAGAAUAAACAAGUAGACUGAGCCCAAGGUAGAGUUUAUGAGAUAAUGGCCUAGUCUUCUUUUUCUGGCCCAAAUACAAUAGUCUUCUUCUGAUGGUGAAGUUGAACCAAGUAAUGUUUUGGGCCAAGUAAUAUCACAAGCGAUGCCAGCACAAGAAAGACGUGAGAGAUACAGAGAGAAGUUGAAACAUGUUGUGAUCAUACUAUGGGCUCAUUAUAAAAGAAAAUAAAUUAAAGAUAAAAAGUAUGAGUUUGUUUAAGGCAAAUCAUCAUUUCUAUAUUUGACAUUACUUAGGGUAAAAAAAAAUUACUUCCACAAUUAUAUAUAUUGUAACCAAAGUUUUCAGAUUUUAUAUUUAAAAAUCAGAAGAACAUAACAGUGGAUAUUUUAUUUACGCCACAAGAUUAAGCUAUGCAAUUUUUGGUGUUGGAUAGUGAAUUAAUUAGUAUAUGUCUUUUAGUAAUAAAAAUAAUUUGAAAUCUAAGAGGUAUAAAAUUAAAAAAUAUCACUAACAAUAUACACAUAACUAGACAUAAUACAAAUAGUGUACUUAUACAUUCAACAAACUAUAAUAUUCUUUACAAAAAAUAUUCCAGAUAUAAUAAACGGUGACAACUUUAAUAUAUAUGAUAUAAACUCAAUUUAUAUUUUAUAAUAGAAAACCAUAAAUAUAUUUAUUUAUUUUUUGACGGCAAAAACUAUAAAUAUUAAAAUAACAUAAUUUUAGAAAAAAAAUUUGCUCCGUGGUGUACCGCGGGUUAAAUCCUAGUGUUAUGGAUUUUUGAAUCACAAUUGGUCCGAAACCAGUUUUUGCUAUUAUUAUAUGUUGAACACAAAUCAUAAGUGACUGUCAAUAUAAUUAAGUUGAUUUGAGUUUCUGUACGUCGAAUAUUUUUUUUUAUAUAUAUGUUAUAUACAUAUAAUAAAUAUUUCAUAAUUAAAGAUUUAACGACCUACAUACAAACUAUAUAUAUAUAUAUACAUAUACUUUGCAUGAUGAAACAACAUUUUUUCUUUAACAAAAUAAAAAAAACAUUUGUAACGUAACUUUUUUUUUUUUUUACUUCAAUUUGUAACGUAACUUAAAGAGUGUUUAGUUGGUUCUUUGGAGUUUGGAGUAACUAUUUUGUUUUGUACACUGUAAGACACGUGUACGACAGGUACUAUUGUAGUUAAACUAAACGACAAAUGAGGUCACAAAAAAUUUAAGACUUGCGAGUUAUUUUCUUUACACUAAAAAUAUUUAAUUUAGCAUGAUUUUUCAGCCUCUAAAACUGGAAAGCCUUUGGAAAAAGAUUUUUUUUUUCUGGAUAUAUUUAUGUACAAAAAUAAAAAAUUAGGACUUAUUUUUUGCUUUUAUCAAUAUAAAAUUAAAUAAUCAAAUUUAAUACGUCUAUAACGAAUUUUCAGUUUCAAAACAGGAAAAAUGAGCAUCCGAUUAAUUUCAUAGUGGUUCAAAGAAUAUAUGUUCAAUGACAAAUGAAUAUAUAUAUAUAUAUAUAUAUAUAUAUAUAUAUAUUAUAUAUAUAUAUAUAUAUAUUAAAUAAAACAUAUUAUAAUUCUUUUUAAAUGGGUAUAGGCAUUUGCCUUACAAAUCCCGAUCCAGUUUAAAAAAAAAAAAACAAAAAAGAAGAAGAUGAUGGUAUCGAAACAAAUCGAAUCCUAUUGAUGGCCGUCAGCGAGAUUACUGGAGACUUAAAUCCGGCAAACUCAAGAUAUCUACCUUCUCAGUUACGUCAGAAGAUUGAAAACCACAGCCAGAAGAGUCUGGUUUCCGACUGCAAUCUCUUUCCGCCGAUACCCCAGAUCCGCUAGAUACCUUCCGGAAAGCUAGUCACCUCGACAGGCAGUUCCACGGAGUCGGGUCUAUCCCCUUCCUUUCCACUCCAGAUCUCUCUGAUUUGACCAUGCGUGAAGACUUCUACUGGACCAGUGGACACCAUACGUGGCGGAUCCAGAGGUUGGAGACUCUCCCAGAGCUUUUGAAGACGAACUCUACGUCAGCCAAGCAGAUCCGGAGGAACUACCGAUAACCACUGCAUCAAACAGCGAAACCCACCAAAACGCCACCAAAUUCCGCCAUAUUCGCCGCAAAAGAAGGACUACUGAGCUUUGAAAAUCUUCGAAGCACACCACGGGGUCCUCAACCGGGAACCACGGCUUCGAAUAUCCUCUUCCGUCAAACUAGAGCCGUGACUAGAUCGGUGACGAAAAACCUCACCUCCGCUGAAGCGAAGAAACCCUGAACACUUCAGGAUCACAAACAAGAAUACUCCAACAUGCGAUGACGAUCAAACAUAUACGGAUCGGAAGAUUAGGGAAUCACUUUCAAGGAAGAGAUAAAUGCGAGAUUCGAUGCAACGAUUGUGCUUUUAACUAGUAUAUAUAUAUAUUUUUAAAAAAAUAUUAAUUUGUGUAUAUAUAUAUAUAUAUAUAUUCUAAAAUCUGAGUAUAUAUAUAUAUAUAUAUAUAUAUAUAUAUAUAGAUAGGGUAAUGAUGUAUUUAUAAGUCCACAUAUAUACAUCCAUAUAAAGUCAAACAUCUAUAAAUUACUAAUAAUGUUGGGACCAUGAUAUUUUAUUAAUUUAUAGUGAUAUUAUUUUAUCUAUAAAUUAGUAUGUAUUAAUUUAUAAUGUAAAUUAAUAUUUAUUAAUUUAUAGAUAGUUUUCUUUUAACUACUGAUUUUUUUAAAAAAAUACGAGUUAAAAAAAUUUGAUCAAAAUAAAAUUAAUGCUUUGGAUGUUACAAUUGUUGUAGUUUUAGACUUUAACAUUUAAUAUUAGAAGUAAAAUAAUUUUGGACAAUAAAUAACAAAGAUUAAAGAUGAAUUCACAUAUAUAAUUGAUAUACAUAAAUUCAAAUUUACAAAAAAUAGCCUCAAUUAUUAUAUUUAAAUAGCCUAUACGUCUAUUGAAAAGAAAAUUUUGCAUAUAUUUAUAGGCAACACAACUAUAAGAUAGUUCAAAAACACAACAUAAUAUUUUCUUAUAUUAGAAAAGUUAGUGAUGAGAUCUAACAUAAAUUCACUUUAUAAAAUGAUAAAAUUAUAUUAUGUUUGUGUAUAUAUAUAUAUAUAUAUAUAUGUAUAAAUUUACAUGAUUAUUAAUUUAUGAUAUUAUUGGGAACAUAGUUUUACAUAGAGAUUUCUAAAAUAAUUAUUAUCUUAUUAUCUUAUCGAAUUUAGUUAUUUUUUACAUUGAUCCGACUUGGGACCGGCCAAAUUUAUUAUUUUAUCGUGUUUAUCAAUUUAUCGAGUAUUAAUUUAUAGAGGUUUUACUGUCUAUGGAAAUUCACAUUCUAAAAGCAUACGUAUAUAUGCAUAUGUAUAUGUUUACUGUUUACAUGCAUGCAGGCCCAACUCUAAGGGUGUGCCAGCAGUGCCAAAGCAGAGGGUCCUUUUUUUUUUUUAAUUUUUAGGGUCCAAAUUUUUUUUUUUCUUGAAAAAGCUGCAGAAAAAAUGUUAAAAAGUCCUGCAAAUAUUAUGUUUAGAAGAAGAAGACAGUAAACAUUGCCAAGUGAGCUGAUUUUUUUUGGGUUAAAAGGCAUAUUUUUUUCUGUAGAACAGGGUCCAAUAAAAUAUUGAGCCGGGCCUGCAUGCAUGUGUGAAUGUAAUAUACUAGAUCAUCACCCGUACUACAGUACGAGUUAAAUUUUAUUUAUUACAAAAUUUAUAUAUUAUAUAUUUUAGAAUGAAGUUCGAAAUAUAUUAUAAUAGUUAUUGAAAAAAUAUAAUUAGAUUUUAGUCAGUCCCUAUAUAUAAUAUUCGAAUGAAUAUAUUUUCUUUUUUUAAUUAUACUCAAUUAUGGAUAUACGUUUUUAAAAUAUGAAAACGGAAAAUAAAAUUAUUUUAAUAAAUUAAUAUGGUCUGAACAAUGAGUUAAUUUAUAUUAACAACCACAAAAUAAGAUUGCAUAUAAUUCAGUUAGAUCAAAAAUCAAAAUAUUAUAAAUGAAUUGCUUCUAAAACGUACAUUAUUUUUAAUUAAUUAAAAAAGUUAGCAAUUAUUUUGAAUUAAUAUAGAAAAUUCUUUUUUCAAUUUCUAAUUCUUUGGUUGUUGAAAUAGAGAUUUGUUUGAGAUAACUACGGAAUUUACCAAUUAUUCACGUAAUCGAAUAUGUUAUGAACAUAUAUUUAGUAUAUAAUAUACCAAACCCAAACCGAUCGCACCUCGUUUAGUUGUAAAAUUUAAAUCCGUUUAUAAACCCAAACCGAUAUUUAACCUCGUUUAAUCAUAAAAUCUAAACCCUAAUCGUACUUUCUAAACCCAAACUGAUAUUUAACCUCGUUUAAUUGUAAAAUCUGAAUCCGUUUAUAAACUCAAACCGAUAUUUAACCUCGUUUAAUCAUAAAAUCUAAACCCUGACUUUUUCUAAUAAACUCAACCAAAACAUAAUUUCGUUUUAGUAGCAAAAUAGAUUUUAUAAUUAAAUUAAAUUCUUUUUAUUAUUAUUAGGUGUCAGAUUAUAUUGGCUGAAAUAAAGAGGGUGAAUAUAAUGGUUCACCUCUAGGGGUGAACCCAAGUAUUUUUCUAUAGGGAGAUUGACAAAAAUAGCACUAAAUAAAGUUUUUCUUCCAAAAAUAGCACUACAUUUGAAAAGUUUCACAAAUAGCACUAUAAAAUUUAAAUAAAUAUUAAAUAUGAAUAAUUUGUUGAAUUAAAAUAAAUAAAUAAAUAAAAUUGGAAAUUUCCCGCCAAAAAAUUUUCGUAACGUAAAUAUAUUUUCCCGCCAAAAAGUUUUUAUCAAAAUUUUCCCGCUAAAUUUUUUUCAACAUUUUCUAGUAAAAAAAAAAUUCCGUCAAAAUUUUUCCGCCAAAAAAAUUUCACAAAAUUCAGGAAGGAUUUCACGAAAUUCAGGAAGAAUUCUUUGAAUUUCAGGAAAUGAUUCCUAAAAGGAUUACACGAAAUUUAGGAAGGAUUCAACAAAAUUCAGGAAGGAUUCCACGUAAUUCAGGAAGGCUUUCAUGAAUUCAUGAAUUUUAGGAAAGAUUCCACGUAAUUCAGGAAGGGUUUCCCGAUUCGUGAAAUCCUUCCUAAAUUACGUGAAAUCCUUCCUAAAUUACGUGAAAUCCUUCCUGAAUUUCUUGGAUUUUUUUUUUACGGGAAAAGUUGGACGGAAUUUUUUUUGGCUGGAAACUUUUGACGAUAUUUUUUUUUCCGGGAACGGAAAAUAUUUUGGCGGGAAAUUUUGACGAAAUUUUUUUUGGCGGGAAAAUUUUGAAGUGAUUUUAUUUUGGCGGGAAAAUAUUAACGAUGAAUUUGUGAUUUUUUGUAUUUAUUUAUAAUUAUUUAUUAAUUUAAAAAAUCAAAAAUAAGGUGCUAUUUUUGGCCAAUAAACUUUUAAGUGCUAUUCUUGUCCCAAAACUUGAUUUGGGGCUAUUAGAGGCAAUUUUUCUUUUCUAUAUUACUCAAAUAUGAAUUUUUGACCCGUAAAAUUUUUUUUUUCAUAGAUUUAACAAUUUAUAUUCGUUUUUUAAAAUUCAAAUCUUGGCAUAUGCAGAUUUUUUUUUUUUUUGUUAUAUGGAUGAUAUGAUGAUUUAUUUGUUUCAUAAAAAUAUAAUCAUAUAAAGAUGAGAGGUGAAGUAUAAUGAUUAAUAACAAAUUAAUAUGGUAAGUUAGAUAUCAAAUCUUAUAUGUUCAUUUUGAUUGGUCAUUUUUUUUAAAGUUAAUAAUAUACUUUUGUUUUUAAUAAUUAAAUUAAUUAAAUUACAUAAAUUAGUACUUCACUUGUUUAUCAUUAAUGAGCUGAAUUAAUUUACUCUUUAAAUUUUUAUCUCUAAUGAUAUUCUAAUGUAAUAACUUACAAAGAAGAAGGUUAUUAAAGGGUAAUUAUAAAUUGUACUCCCCAAAUAAUAGUAUAGGAUAUACGACAAAAGUACUCUUUUCAACUCGAGUUAAAAAUAUGAAUGUCGACGAAGAAACAUUAUGUAUAGAGAACGAAAUUAAUGUUACAUACAAUAAUUGAGAUGGAUAUAGUAUCGACCGUCGUACCAAUAUAAUAAUUGAGAGGAAAAUAUAUUCGAGCCUCCCAAUUAAUUUGGAAUUCUCAUCGUAGAAUAUAAUUCAAUAAUUUUAAAAGAAACUUAUUGGUUUUUAACAUUAUGUGUUAUAAAUGUUUUUCGAUAUACAAAUUGGCUUAAGUUUAUAGCCUCUUGUCCAAAGUAUGGGUCCGAUAAGUCGUAUUCAUAUGGAUUCAAAUUCAAUAGGUCGUAUCUAAAUAUAUAUGUAAUCGUAUCUUCUUAUUUUGGAUACGAAGUAAAUAUUAUCUUUUCAGGACUAUUAAAUAUUUAAAAAAAAAAUUGAAUAAAUGAAAACAAUUUUUUCGUCUAGUGAUUGCUACGAAGAAACGUGGCCAUGGUACUCCGUUUAGUCAAUGUCAAGUCUAUGAAAAAUUCUACGAUGAAACGUAAAUCUUUGACCGCAUUUCACUUUCUAGAUAAAACAAAUAAAGUUAAUUUAAAAUAUACCAUCAAAUAAUAAGGUACAUCAAGUUGAUGGGAACUAUAGAAACCCUACCAAAGUACACUCUUUUCAUCUAUUGAUUCCUUUAAUAAAGCCAUUUAGAGGCAAUGUUGUCUCCGUAAUUAAAAAACAAAAAAAAUGGACGUGACAAUGAUGAGUUAGAUUAUCUGAACCCUUGUUCUAAAAAUCGGCCGCCUAGGCGGCCGUCUAGACGCUGAUCGGAGGAGCACAGCGGUGAUUUUGUCUAAAUCGGAGAUCCGAUUUUUGUCCGCCUGAACCGCCUAGCUGGCCUAGACGGCGCCUACCCCAAUUUUUUUUUUUUUGUUUUUACUUUUUUUUUUCAUCUAAAAUUCAAAACGUCCUACUUAUGUUCGUAAUUUGUAUAAAAAUCAUAAAUUUGAAAUUAAAAUCUUGUUUUCAUGUGUUUAAUACAAUUUUAAAAACAAUAUUAUAUAAAUUACUUAAUUAUAAUGGAUUAAUAUGCUUUUAAAAUAUUAAAUAGCCCUAAAACUAAUCCCCGAUUAAUCCCCGUGUAAUCCUCGAUUUUCUUGCUAGGCGCUAGGCACACCCUCACCGCCCGACUAGCGCCUAGCGAUUUUUUGAACACGGGUCUGAACCAAAGUUGCAACUUGUAUUAUUGUAAUAAUCUUUAGAACUUUUCGUUUUAAUUGCAUGAAAAGAGACACGUUGUAGAUGAGUAUUAGCAUUACAAUUAUGUAUGUUCAAUGUUGGGGAUGUUUUUAGACUCAAUGCUUAUUUAGUUAUAAUCCAGCAAUUUGUUUUCAUGAGACCUCUUUCUGUACGAAUUCAAAUUGGAUAAUUUAUUAACAGCAGAAUUCCAUAUAUAGAAUAUAGAAAAAAAAUUGUAAAUGCCGUCUAAUGAAUUAUGGAGGCCAGCGGCGAAAAAAAAAAAAAAAAAAAGGAUUAUGGAGGCCAGUAGGCCACAAGUUCUUAUAAAAAUGUGAAAUCAAAUUUUUCAGCAAAUACAGUGAGUUCUUCUUUGAUAUUAAAAUAUAUUAAAAUAUUGAAGAUAUUUAUCCUUUUUUAUUGGGAAUAUAAAAAUUGAUGAUUUGGUAAGUCUUGUUAGAGAAAACAAGAGAGAAUUUGCCACUGAAAAAAAUCAAACAUGACCAAAAGAUCUGUAAUAUGAUAAUAUUAUUUCAUUAACUAGUCACCCAUUUCAGCCGCAAAACUGAGAAAUAAAUCACAUGUCACUUAUAGAUAGAUAUAUCUUUUUCGGAUUGCCAAUUACAAAUUUGCAGCGAUUCGAUUUAAUUCUCUAUAUGAUCUACGUCUCUAAUAGGCAAGUACCAUUUUUGUAAUUCGAAAGUAAAAAAUAUGAUGCAUUUAAAGGUAUAUACUCUCUCAAAUCAUCAAUUUUUCUUGAAAUAUAUAUAUAUAUAUAUAUAUUUUAUUUGUUGAUAAUGUGUUAGGAGAGCCGUCCAUGAAACCAAGCAAAGAAAGUUUGUGUUUACGACCCUUGAUUUUUUAUAUACAAAUCCGACUGCUAUUUUUAUAGACUUGUUUAAGUAGCUUAAUGGUAAAAUGCAUAUUUCCUCAAGUAGAGAUGCACAUUUUGAACAUCAAGUCUCUAUUUUUACUGUGUUUUUUUUUUCAUUUUUAAUUUUUUUUAACAAAUAAUAGACCUUAAUUUUUAGAGAAAUUACUUCUUAUACCCCAAAUCAAGUUUUUUAGACAAUAAUAGUCCUCAAAAGUUUAUUGGACAAAAAUAACACCUUCUUUUUGAUUUUUUAAAUUAAAUAAAUUAUUAUAAAUAAAUACGAAAAAUCACAAAUUCAUCGUUACUAUUUUCUCGCCAAAACAAAAUCCCGUCAAAAAUUUUCCGCCAAAAAAAUUUCCCUCCAAAAUAUUUUUUGCUCCCGGAAAAAAAUAUAUCGUCAAAUUUUUCCCGCCAAAAAAAAAAUCCAAGAAAUUUAGGAAGGAUUUCACAAAAUUAAGGAAGGAGUUCACUAAUCGUGAAACCCUUCCUGAAUUACGUAGAAUCCUUUCUAAAUUCAUGAAUUCAUGAAAUCCUUCCUCAAUUACGUGGAAUCUUUCCUGAAUUUCGUUGAAUCUUUCCUGAAUUUUGUGCAAUCCUUUUAGGAAUUCUUUCCUGAAAUUUAAAGAAUUCUUCCAGAAUUUCUUGGAUUUUUUUGGCGAAAAAAUUUUGACGGGAUUUUUUUUUGCGGGAAAAUGUUGAAAAUUUUUUUUGGCGGAAAAAUAUUUUUACGUUGCAGAAAGUUUUUGGCGGGAAAAAUAAAUUUUAGCGGAAUUUUCCAAUUUUAAUUAUUUAUUUAUUUUAAUUAAACUAGUUAUUCAUAUUUAAUAUUUAAUUAAAGUUUAUUAGUGCUAUUUUUGUCAAUCUCCCUUAUUUUUAUUUUAUUUUUGCUUAUGAUUUUCAAAUUCUCGGAGACGAUUAUGUGUGCUAGUACUAGGCCAGGGCAAAAUACCCGGAACCGAAUACCCGAACCGAAAAAACCCAAAAAAAUAUCUGAACCAAACCCGAACCGAUUUUUAAAAAUACCCGAAUGGGUCCUAGACCUCUUACCCAAAAAAAACCAAACCGAACCCGAACCGAAUCCAUCCCCCGUGGGUACCCGAUACAAAUAUACACCUAAAAUAUUAGUUACAUUUAUAUUUAUAUACUCGAGAUACCUAAAUUACAAUCAUAAUCCGAUAUAUUAGAUAUUUUUGAGUAAUUCGGUAUACAUUUGGAUAUAUUAGGUUAAAAAGUAACUAAUGAUGUAGUUUUUUUUGGGUAGUUUUAGUAUUUUUAGAUAUUUUUGGUUAUAUUUGGGUAAAGAGUAACCAAUGUAUUUUUGAGAAAUUGGGUAUUUCGGUUAGAUUUGGGUAUAUAUGAAUUAAAAACCCGAAUCCGAAAAUAGUUCGGGUAUUUUUGGUUAUUUUCGGAUAUUUUACUUUUUUAUUAAAAUAUCCGGAUCGACCCGAACCCGAACCGAACCCAAACCCAAACCGAAUUUUUAGAAUAACCGAAUGGAUCUCAAACCCCUAACCGAAUAGACCCGAUACCCGAAAAAAAAGAACCGAACGGAUUCGAGUACCCGAAUGCCCAUGCCUAGCUAGUACCAUCGUUAUCUCACUAUUUGUUUUAGUUGUUGAUUAGUUAAAUGGUUUUUGAACUACUGUUACAUUGUUGUUAAAACUUUAAUAGUAACAUUUUCAUCGCAACAUAAUUUAAAGAAUCAAACUCGUUAUUGAAAUUUGGAACAUGAUAAAAAAGGUUAAAAUAUUGGAUGAAUAAAUUCCAACUAUUGUUUUUUAAUUCUAUUUACAUAUAUUUUGACCAAUCAACAAAUUCACGUGGUAAAGUAUUAUUUAAAACUGAAGAUAUUCAACAUUUCCAAUAAUGCUCAUAUUUAUUCCCUCUUUUAUUUUUUUUUGACUAUGUUCCAAUGACGACUAUAUGACUUUCUUGAUUGGUUUACGUACAAGGAGGUGGUGUAUGGAGAAGUACGGAUUUGGUUUCUCAAUCAACAAGUCGUUUUAAUAAACGAAGGAAAAAAGAAACUCCUCUUUAGCAAAAUAAUAAAAAUAAAAAAACGAACUCCUAAGAGAUUAGUGACCCCAGUCAAUUAUGAUUCUAAUAAUAAAAUUGACUUAUAAUUUUAGUUUGCAUAAAUGGAAGUGAAUAUUUUAUUUCUCAAAAGAAAAUUGUAUGUUUUAAAUGUUUUUGGUGUUCAAAACCAAUUACUGCCAUGUCGUUCAAACUUUGAGGAGCCCCACGAACAUUACUAUAUAAAAGAACAUUUUUUUAAGAUAGUAAUGGUCGACAUAAACAAUUCAAUAACUGUAAGAAAUACAAAAAUGUGUAAGCCCAUGACAGAAAAAAACAAAUAAUGAUAAGUAAAUUACGUAAUGAAAGAAACGUAAGUAUGUAGGAGAACAAUGGGCUUUCGCUAAGCGGUAUCAAUUGAAAGUUGAAACCAUGGAUAGUUUCUCUUCACUCGUAACUCGUAAGAUGCUAGUUGUCACACGAAUUUAUUCAUUUAUUUUAAUAAUGUUGGAAUAUAUAUUCUAAUAAUUUUGCAAUUCAAUAUUCUUUGCUCAUAUGCUGAUUUAAAAAAAUUAUUUGUUGCAAAUGUAUGGUUGUCAUUGUCGACUUUUUAUUUAAUAAACUUUGCAUUGGGCGCAUACAUAUUCUUAGAUCAGAUAAAAUUAUAUAAACUUCAAAACUAAUUAAAAAAGCAAUCCUACAUAUUAGUGCCAUCAAAAAAAAAAAGCAAUGCAUAUCAGUCAAUCGUUUGUUUGCUUCAUAUAAAUUGAUAUAUUUACUGUAGGAACCGUAUUUAAGUUCCAACAAUUACUACGAACUAAAGAAUUUACAGCACAUAUAAUUACGAGAAGUAAUGUAAAAUAUACUAUAGACUUUGUGUAUGAGAGAACCUCUAAAAGUUCAAAACAAGCAAUGUUUAUAUAGUUUGGAGUUUAAUUAAACUAGCUAGUGAACAAAUUAAAGUGUAUAAGACAUAAAGUUAUUAUUUUAUACUAUAAAGUUAAACACAAUUUGGCCAAUACAAAGUACGCAAUGAUGAUUCGGGUACAAGUUGAUAUCAGGCUUUAGACAGUUAGCUAAUUUGAUUUAAUUAACUUGUGGUUAGAAGUAAUUAACCACUGAUUGAUCCAUCUAUUAAUUUUUAAUUACAUUAAUAUUUAAAUCAUUAUUCCUUCAAUCAUCCUCUUAAUUAUAAUAAGCAAUAUUCAUCCACAUGCCUACCGAUCAUGGUUUUACAAUUUGUGUUGCAUUGCUUUAAUUAGAUUUUAUAAUAAGAAUAAGAACACGUCGUUAUGAAGUAUAAUCAUUAUAUAAAAAUUCUACAUCUUUUGUCAACGCAUAUCUAAUUAUUACUAAGUCGAUCACAACAAAUUAAUUUUAACUCUAAUAAGCUGAAUCUCAAAAUUCAAUCAUACAUACCUUUAUGUAUUAUUGCAAAACUUAUUAAAUACUUUAAGAAACUAGAUCGUCAUGACUAGCUACUCAUAACAAAUCAAUUAAACAAAAAACUGCAUCUAUAGUCAAAAGACUCGUAAUGUUCUUAGUUGCAUUAGUCAAAUAUUAUCAAAACAUUGAUAUAAAAUAAACAUUCAGUUUGUUACAUUCAAUUUAUAAUUAUUAAUCAGAACACUUUAGGGAUACAAAGACUUGUGAUUAACAAAGACUUCUUUCUUUAUUAUGUUUAAGAAACUUUACUCAAAACUUAAACCUCACAAAUCUCUCUUGUUCUCUCAAAACACACACAUAAAAACACAACACAAUACAAACUAUUUAUAGGGGUUAGAUAACUCCUAAACCGCCUUUACAAUUAGGUCUUUGAUAACUCCAAAUCCUAAAACAAACCGACUUCUUUAAAACCCUUGAACACACCGACUUCAAGCUUUCUUGGGCCUCAAGCUUUUCAAGUUUAAACAACAUUCUCCCCCUUAAACUUGAUAUCUUCAUUCUCCACAUCUUGAACACCCAUAAGCUCUCUCAUUUCUUUGAAUCUUAUUCUUCCCAACGCCUUAGUCAAUAUAUCAGCCUUCUGCUCGUCCCCGGGAAUAUGUUCAACAUCAAUGAGCUCAUUCUCAACACAUUCACGGAUGAAAUGAUAUCUCCUAUGUAUGUGUUUGCUCCUUCCGUGAAAAACUGGAUUCUUAGCUAAGGCUAUAGCUGAUUUAUUGUCAAGGAAAAGUGUUACCCUUUCACAUUCUUUCCCAGUAGCUUCUCCCAGAAGUUCUUGGAGCCAGAUUGCCUGUUUUGCAGCCUCAGUGGCUGCCAUGAACUCUGCUUCACAAGAAGACAGAGCCACUGUCUCUUGUUUUUUAGUACACCAGGUAAUUGGACAAUCAGCAAGAUAGAAAAUGUGUCCCGUGGUACUUCUACCAUCAUCCUCAUCUACAUUGUGACUACUGUCACUAUAUCCUAUUAGCCCUUUCUUUGAACCACGGGUAAAGGACAGGCCAAGUUUGAUAGUUCCACGCAAAUACCUUAGGACCUGCUUUAGUGCAUUACCAUGUGAUUCUUUUGGUUCUUGCAUGUAUCUACUCAAAAUACUGACACAGAACGAGAGGUCUGGCCGUGUGUGGAGUAAAUACCUUAAGCAUCCAAUAUUUCGUCUAUAUUCCUUUUCAUCAAUGUUCUUUUCUUUCUCUGCUUUAGACAACUUCAGACCUGUAAUCAUAGGUGAAUGAACUGCAUUACAAUCUUUCAUUCUUGCUUCUUCUAAAAUCUUCUCUGCAUAUCUUCCUUGUUUUAGGAUUAUGCCCUUGUUAUGUUGAAUAACCUCAAUACCAAGAUAGUAUGUUAGUAGGCCAAGAUCACUCAUCUCAAAUUUGGAGGCCAUUUUCUUCUUGAACUCUAGGAUUUGGUCUAUCCUUGAACCUGUAACUAGUAAAUCGUCCACAUAUACUGCUACAAGUAGAUGAUGCUCUUCUUCUUGUUUUAGAUAUAAUGAAGGUUCUUUUGAACACCUCGUAAGACCUAAUUCCUUGAGAAUUCUGUUGAGCUUAAUGUUCCAGGCUCUCGGCGCUUGUCUCAAACCAUAAAGUGCCUUGUUUAGUCUGUAGACUUUGUUUUCACUUCCUUCUAUCACAAAUCCUUCUGGCUGAGAUACAAAUACUUCCUCCUUUAAAUCACCAUGUAAAAAUGCCGUUUUUACAUCAAGAUGAUGUAUCUCCCAGCCAUUUGAGGCUGCUAUAGCUACAAUAAGACGGAUUGUUUCUAUACGUGCUACUGGUGCAAAAACCUCAUCAAAAUCUAUUCCAUGUUUUUGCACAUACCCUUUAGCAACUAACCUGGCUUUGUAUUUGUUUAUGCUUCCAUCUGAAUUUCUUUUUAUCUUAAAGACCCAUUUCAGCCCUAUAGGCUUAGCUCCUGCAGGUAGUUCAACCAGAUUCCAUGUGUUAUUCCUUUUGAUGGAGGAAAUCUCAUCCUUACAUGCUUCUCUCCAUUCAGUAGACUCUUUUGCUUCCUGAUAAUCCCAUGGUUCCUCGUUUAUGAUCAUUAGCAGUUUCUCACUUUCUAUCUCUGCAAGUAAGAUGUAGUCAUUUAGAUAUUUUGGUCGUGUGACCUGUCUCUGUGAGGUUCUUAACACUAGUGGUGGUUGAUUCUGCUGCAGGCUUUCUUGAUUCUCAGCUUCCUCUGUUUCUUCUGAAGAAGAUUCAUCGUUUUGUUCCUCAGAAACUUCAUUUUCUGCUUCAUUGUUGGUUUCUUCAUUGAUUUCUUCAGUGGUGUUAUCUUCUCUUUCAGCAUUUUGUUCUUCUCUUAAUCCAUUAUUACCAUAUUCUCCAAUACUGACCCUGAAGGUUACCAUAUUUUCAUCAGAUGUUUUUUCUAUAUGGUUCCACUUCCAUCCUUCAUUUUCAUUGAAAACAACAUCCCUGCUAACAACAAUUUUCCGAUUUGUUGGAUCCAUUAGCCUGUAGGCUUUAGUUCCUGGUUCUGUUCCUAAGUAAACUAAGGCUCUUGAACGAUCAUCUAACUUCUUUAGAUGAGAAGAAUCAUUCUUUGCAUAGCUGAGGCAUCCAAACACUCGCAGAUGUUCUAUGUUUGGUUUUCUUCCUUUAUAUACCUCGUAUGGUGUUUGUGUAUUUAAAGUUCUUGUUCCAACUCUAUUGAUCAAGUAUGUAGAAUGUCUCACAGCUUCUCCCCAUAAGUAGUUUGGCAUAUUCAUAUGUUUCAGAAUGCUUCUUGUCAUUUCCAUAAGCGUUCUGUUUCUUCUUUCAACAACUCCAUUUUGUUGUGGGGAGUAAGGUGCAGUGAGAUGCCUUUGUAUACCAGUUUUAUCACAAAAACUCUGAAAUUCAUAGGAUACAAACUCUCCUCCUCUGUCUGUCCUAAAAGUUUUGAUAGAAGUUCCUGUUUCUUGCUCUACUAGCAUUUUAAACUUCUUGAACUUCUCAAAGGCUUCACUCUUUUCCUUUAAAAGGAUGGACCACAUGUAACGGGAAUGAUCAUCGAUUAGUACAAACACAUACCUAUUUCUUGCUGUUGUGGAGGGUGUAAUGGGACCACAGAGGUCUCCGUGUAUAAGCUCAAGUCGUUUUUCUGCUCUAUAUGUAGUUGCUUGAGGAAAAGCUUUCCUUACUUGUUUUCCCAUUAGACAUGAAGAGCAGGUUUCCUUUUCAAUUUUUAUUAUAGGCAGACCAGUCACAAGUUCUUUCUUCUGCAUUGUUUCCAUUGUUUGUAGGUUUAUAUGUCCUAAUCUAGCAUGCCACCUUCUUGAUUCACUAAUCUCCAUUGUUUGUAGGCAUUCUGCAGGCUCAAGUUCCAUGAGGACUUUAUACAGUCUAUUUCUUGAUCUCUUUGUUUUAACUAGAAGUUUUCCAUCCUUGUCAUGUACUGUGAGAUAAUCCUCCCUCAUUCUGACAUCACAGCCAGACUCUGUUGCUUGACCAAGGCUAAUGAUAUUUGAUUUUAAACCUGGUAUGUAAUAUACAUCAGCCAAGGUCUUUUUCUCUUUAUUCUUGCUUAUGAAUAAAACAGAGCCCUUUCCCUUUAUGUCAAUGCGUGUAUCAUCACCAAAUCUUACUUUGCCUGUCACUGUUUCAUCAAUUUUAGUGAAGAAUUCUCUGUUUCCUGACAUAUGAUUGCUUGCUCCAUUAUCAAGAUACCAAGUAUUCUUUCCAUCACUUUGGGUUUCAAAGUCACUUAGUUUCACAUUCUUUUCAUUCAGAUAGACAACUUCAUGCACCAUUAGUUCCUCUGCUUCAUGAGUCUCAUCAUCUUUCUGCUCCUGAGCUUCUUGAAGUUUCAGUAAUCUAUCUGGACAAGUUGAUGCAAAGUGACCUACUUUGUCACAUCGAUAGCAUAUCACUUUUGAUUUGUCUCUUUCUUGUCUGAUACUUUCGUUUUGUUGAUAUCCAGAGAAGCGACCACGUCCUCUCCCUGUUUGUGAGUAUCUUCCACCUUGUCCUCUGCCUCUUCCUCCUCUAUAACUACCUUGAUAUGGUUGUGUUUCAAAGUUAGUAUAUAGGAGUUUUCCCUGAUCAUUCGAUACUUCUUCUUCCUCAUCAUAGACUCUGUCCUCAUAGACUUUGAUUCUUCCUACUAUUUCUUCAAAACUUGUGUUCUUGAGAUCAAGAACUUGCUCUAGUGAGGCUACUAUCUGGAUGUAUUUUUUCCUUGGGAGACACUUUAGAAACUUCUUAACAAGUUUGAUUUCUGCAAUCUUUUCUCCAAGAGCAGCAGAUUUAGUAGCAAUCUCUGAGAGUUUUCCUACAAACUCAUCAAGAUUAUCAGUUUCUUUCAUCUUGAUCCGAUCAAAUUCAGCUGUUAGGGUUUGAAGUCGAGCUUCUUUUACUCUGUCAGCUCCUAUAUGCCUAGUUUUGAUAGCAUCCCAGACUUGUUUCGCAGUUUCAUACUCCCCUACUCGUAAAAUCAACGACUCUGGUAUAGAUUGGAAGAUAAGUGCCUUUGCCAUAUCGUUCUUGUCCUCAUCGGUUGUUCCUGGGUCAAUAGCCUCCCAUACUUUGUUAACCCUGAGCAUCGGUUUCAUUCUCAUGGUCCACACAGUAUAGUUUGUGUUAUUGAGCAUCGGACACCGGAUCGAUGAGGAUCCAAUUUCUUUUGGCUUGUCUACGGGAACAAGUUCUGCCAUCGUUUGUUCUUUCACGAUCUUCGUGUUUCUGAUUCAAUAUUGCUCUGAUACCAAUUAUUAAUCAGAACACUUUAGGGAUACAAAGACUUGUGAUUAACAAAGACUUCUUUCUUUAUUAUGUUUAAGAAACUUUACUCAAAACUUAAACCUCACAAAUCUCUCUUGUUCUCUCAAAACACACACAUAAAAACACAACACAAUACAAACUAUUUAUAGGGGUUAGAUAACUCCUAAACCGCCUUUACAAUUAGGUCUUUGAUAACUCCAAAUCCUAAAACAAACCGACUUCUUUAAAACCCUUGAACACACCGACUUCAAGCUUUCUUGGGCCUCAAGCUUUUCAAGUUUAAACAACAAUAAUUUCUACCAAGACAUACAAUAUUGAUUAACAAUAAUGUUAGUUUGACUUUGGUACAAAAAAGGAGCUUAAUAUGUAUUGACAAAUAACAAUAUUAAGUGUAGAAGACACGUGGUAGGUCUAAUUUGAUGAGCACGAAAGCAGACGUACGUCAAACGUAUAGUUAACGACAUUUAAUGCAGUUAAUUUAUAAGUAACAACUUAUUAUUAUAAUGUGUUCUUAAAAGAAAUCAAAACGAAAUCGCACAAAAAAAAAAAAAAGAAAAAAAACGAACGUAUAAUUAUUGAUUUAAUCAAAUGAUUCAUAUCGAAUUAAACGAAAAGUGAUCAUUAUUAAUAAUUUGGGGAACAUGAAAACAUUGAAUAUAGGCAUUGCUUUCGGGAGAGGUAACAGGUACAGUACGGAUCUGGGAGACUUUGAUUAAUUAUGUUCUAAUUAAUCAUUGAUUAAAAUGUUCUAAUCCCCAAUUAAAUCAUUUCUCAUUUUACGAUUUUAAAUGAAGAGAAAAAGCCCAAUAUAUAACUUAGGCCCAAUAAAUACCCAAUUCGUCGUUUAUACUCUCUUUUGCCGGCGCCGGGAAACUGCCGAUGUGUUGUUGGUGAUGGUUAAAAAUUCAAAGAUAAACCUGAGAAUUUAUUGUUCCGGUCAUGUAAUCUACUCUCUAAGGCACUCAAUUUUUCGCCGGGAAUAUCGGUCUUCUAAUUUUCACUUCAGUAAGAUAAAACAUGAGCGACACUUCACGUCCUCUGUUUUGUCUCCAGUUACUCCUAGUGUAUAUAACCUGUUCGACGAAAUGCCCAAGAGAGAUAAUAGGACUGUGGAGGCUAGUUUUAUGUUCUUGCGAGAUGUACUUAGAUCCUUUAUGAUGAGAAUAGAGACAGAGACUCCGAGGAGUAUCCAUUGUUUCGCUCUGAAGUGUGGUUUCCUCCAAGAUUUAGCUACAUCUUCAAAGCUUCUAACGAUUUACGGUAGAACCGGGGACUUGGUGUCUUCUUUGGGUCUGUUUGGUGAACUGAAAGAGAAAGAUGUGAUUGUUUGGAACAGUAUGAUCACUUGUUUGAAUCAAAAUGGUCGUUACAUUGCAGCUGUUGGAUUGUUCGUUGAGAUGAUUCAUAAGGGGAAUGAGUUUGAUUCGACCACGCUUUUACUUGCAGUUUCGGCGUUAUCUAGUUUACAUCUUUCAAAGAAAUGUCCAAUGGUUCAUUGUUUGGCAAUAGAGACUGGUUUGGUUUCGGAUUCUAGCUUGUGCAAUGCAUUGAUGAAUCUAUAUGCAAAAGGCGAGGACUUGAGCUCCGCAGAGUGCGUGUUCACGCAUAUGGAGCACCGAGACAUUGUUUCUUGGAACACGAUCAUGACUAAAUGUCUUGCAAAUGGGUAUCCCAGGAAUUCGCUGAUAUAUUUCAAGUCGAUGAUUGGUUCAGGACAAGAAGCUGAUAAUGUGACUUUUUCAUGCGUUAUAUCAGCUUGCUCUUGUCUUGAAGAACUUCCUUUGGGUGAAUCCCUCCACGGGUUGGUUAUAAAAUCAGGUUAUAGUCCAGAAGCUCAUGUCUCUGUGGCCAACUCGAUCAUUUCGAUGUACUCAAAAUGUGGGGACAUCGAGGCUGCGGAAACUGUGUUUGAAGAAUUAUUGUGCAAGGAUGUUAUUUCUUGGAAUGCAAUCCUUAAUGGGCUUUCUGCAAAUGGAAUGUUUGAGGAAGCAUUUGGUAUUUUGAAGGAAAUGCAGUCGGUGGAUAAGAUUCAGCCUGAUAUCUCCACCGUGGUUUCAAUAACUUCCAUAUGUGGUGAUUUUUGUUUGUCACGAGAGGGAAGAGCAAUUCAUGGGUAUACGGUUCGCAGGGAGAUGCAAUCCAGAGCAUUAGAGGUAAUAAACAGCGUUAUUGAUAUGUACGGUAAAUGUGGCUUAACAACUCAGGCUGAGUUUUUGUUCAAGACCACAACACAUCGAGACUUGGUUUCGUGGAACUCGAUGAUAUCUGCUUUUGCGCAAAACGGGUUUACACAAGAAGCUAAGAAUCUGUUCAGGGAAGUUGUCAGUGAGUAUACUUGUUCAAAGUUUAGCUUGUCGACUGUGUUGGCAAUUCUUACGUCUUGUGAUUCCUCUGAUUCUCUCAUUUUUGGAAAAUCAGUCCACUGUUGGCUGCAAAAGCUAGGGUUUGGGGAUAAUAUCCUUUCAGCUAAUUCAGUAAUAAACAUGUACAUCGGUUGCAGGGACCUAACUUCAGCAUUUCUUCUGUUAGAGAUGAUAUUCGAAACAAGGGAUCUCACAUCUUGGAACUCUGUUAUCUAUGGCUGCGCAUCAAGUGGUCACCAUUUAGAAUCAUUGAGAGCGUUUCAAGCAAUGAGUCGUGAAGGGAAAAUUCGUCAUGACCUGAUUACUCUUCUGGGUACUAUUUCAGCUAGUGGAAACCUCAGACUGGUCUUACAAGGAAGGUGCCUUCAUGGUCUAGCUAUUAAAAGUCUGAGAGAACUUGACACCCAACUGCAGAAUACGUUGAUCACCAUGUAUGGUAGAUGUAAAGACACUGAGAGUGCAGUGAAGGUUUUUGGCUUGAUCUCUGACCCUAACUUGUGUUCCUGGAACUGUGUGAUAUCAGCUUUAUCUCAGAACAAAGCUGGACGCGAAGUGUUUCAACUCUUCAGAAACCUCAAGUUAGAGCCAAACGAGAUCACAUUUGUUGGUCUUCUGUCUGCCUCGACUCAGCUUGGGUCAACAAGCUAUGGUAUGCAGGCACACUGUCAUCUCAUUCGUCGUGGGUUUCAAGCUAACCCUUUUGUCAGUGCAGCACUAGUGGAUAUGUACAGUAGCUGCGGGAUGCUAGAAACUGGCAUGAAGGUGUUUAGAAACUCGGGGGUGAAAUCAAUUUCUGCUUGGAACUCAGUUAUCUCUGCAUAUGGAUUCCAUGGAAUGGGAGAGAAGGCAAUGGAGCUAUUCAAGGAAAUGAGUAGUGGUAACUCAGGGAUGGAGCCAAACAAGAGCACUUUCAUAAGCCUAUUGUCAGCUUGUAGCCACUCUGGGUUUAUAAAUGAAGGUCUAAGAUAUUACAACCAAAUGGAGGAAAAAUUUGGGGUUAAACCAGUUACCGAGCAUCGGGUUUGCAUUGUUGACAUGCUUGGCCGGGCAGGGAAGCUGAAAGAAGCUUAUGAGUUCAUCAUAGGGAUUGGUGAGCCACAAAAAGCAGGUGUGUGGGGAGCUUUGUUGAGCGCUUGUAACUAUCAUGGGGAUACAAAGUUGGGAACAGAAGUUGCAGAAGUUUUGUUUGAAAUGGAACCAGACAACGCAUCUUAUUACAUCUCGUUGGCGAAUACUUAUGUUGGGUUGGGUGGUUGGGAUGAAGCUGUACGGCUACGGAAGAUUGUGGAGGAUAAUGCAUUGAAGAAGCUACCUGGUUACAGUGUUAUUGACGUUAGUGUUGGAUAGUGUUUCUUGAAGUUUUCCUAUAUCAGUGACUAAGGUUAGAGGCUAUUUAACUCUGUACAAGAUAGAAAAUAAGAUAGCAAGAAGCAAUAGAUUCAUUGUAAAAUCCAAAGUAAUAACAUUACAGUAAAUGUUGAAAUCAUCAACUCGGGAAGUACAAAGCCAAAAAGAAAAAAGUUACAGAUUCUGAAACUUUUAUUGCUCAGUUAAUAAAAGAUGUGGGAAAAAAAUACGAAGAAGCAAAACUGAUGAAACAACAAUCAAAAGCUUGACCAGAAAGAAACAUCUGCUAAAUGCACUCGGAAAACAGAUGGCUGCGUAAAAUAUCCUGAGUUCAUAGAUCUUGCUAUAAGCAAAAGCCCUUCUGGAAUUCGAACAAUGUUUUAUCCAGCUCAUGCCCUUGUAUUCUGUGAAUCCAUAGAGGAAAUUAAGAGAAAACAAACAUUUUAGAUAUUGGUUCCAUAAAACGUUGUAUGAUUGAGAAAACAUGAUUGGAUUUUAGAGAUCAAGAACCUCGUGGUAGUUGUCCUAAUCAUCCAAGUAGUAGUAUGAGCCUGCAGACUUUUGCUCCCUGUCUUUGGUCGACUCCAAUUUGUUGAUUCUUGGUCUGAAAUUAGUGGGAUCCCGUCUGAAUGUGAUGUUCAGAUGCUGCAUGGUAACGAAAGACAUAAAUGGGAAUCAUUAGCACCAACUUUUGUGUCCUUUUUUCUUGCCCAUACGGUGUAACUAAGAAAAUAGUAGAAAGGUUGACACUUUUGCCCAGAAAUCAAAACAAUCGAGAGAUAGAAAACAACAAAUCCAAACACUUUCAAUACAAAUUAUAGAAGUUUUGAAGGUAUAUCGAUGGCUCAAUACAAUCCCAGAUGUAGAAAUCAGCUGUGAAUCAAUCGGGAAGCAAACACCGAUAAGCCCCAAAAAAAUUCAAAAUCGGUUACAUAUAAAACAUCAUCUGACUUGAAAUCUAAAUCUCCAUGGAGGAGAAAAAGGGAAAUUGAGAUUAGUAGUACCUGAGAUGAUUGAGAGAUUCGUAGAGGAAGAUUGAAAUGAAAAAGCGUGUGCCGAUUCUUUUAAGGAACCAGCGGAGAGCACACGCACUUGAUAGUUAUGCUUUGCGCAAAAUGAAGAAAGACAACAAAAAAGAAGCAAAUUUAGGGUUUUCUGAAUUACUCUGUUUUCGUUUGACCCGAUUCGCUUUUUAUUGGGCUUGGGUCGGUCACAGUUUGGUAUGAGCCAGUGUUUUCAUGCCCGACCCGGACCGCCCGGUCCGACCGGUUAACCCACGACCCGAAUACUUUUCCGGUUUGAGUUUAAUGCUAAUACCCGCCAAUUUUAAAACCGGAAAAACCCACAAAAUCCUGCCAUUAACCCGCGACCCAGUGAACCGGUUGAACCGGCUGGGUAUGGGUUUUAAAAAUAUCAUUUGAUUUUGGAAUAAAAUUUAGAGUUUUAGACUCUAUUCAAUUAUUUUUAGAACUCUUUUGUAGUUCUUAGACUCAUUUGAUGUUUUAGAUUUUGAUGAAACAUGACAGUACCGUUUAAGGAGAAUAAAUGAAAUGGUGAGAGAAAUAACCGAUAUUAGUUGUUUUGAAUUCGUGAUGUUUUAUUAGUUUAUUUCUGUUAUUGGCGAUCUCCUACUAUUUUAAUAUUUGUUACAAUUUUAGACUUUUAGUUGGAUUUAAAAAUUUAAUUUGAAUUACUUUAUUAUUAUUGUUAGACUUCAUAUUUUGUAAAUAUAGUAUGAAUAUUUUUAUUUUUAUAUUCAUAAAAACUAUAUAUUCUCUAUGAAUAUUAAAUAUAUUAAUUAAAUUUUAAUCAAUUGACCCGUGGUCGAACCCGGUUGACCCAGUGACCCGGUAACCCAGAAGGUAGUCCGGUUCACCGUCCGGAUCGGGUUUAAAAACACUGGUCUGAGCAUAGCAACUUGUCCGAAAGCCCUUCACUUGUGUAAUAAAUUGAAUUUGUUUUGUCGUUAUGAACUUUCUAGUUUCGAAGGAGAAACUUGUAAAAAUUGUCUUCCAAAAUAUAGUUUCUUUACUCUCAAAGGAAAGUAUUUUUUUUUUUUUUAGGUAGGCCUCUUAAGGAAAGUUUGUUUGUUUAGUUUAUCUGUUCAUUUGUGUUAACAAAUAUUAUUUCAUGUCAACUAUUCAAAAAUCAAAAUUAUUUCAGAUGCUAAAUUAAAAAAAAAAUCAGAACUUGUUCUCUGUAAAAGCGAAUCCCUAAUCAGAGAACAACAAACUAUUCUUGCACGACCUCGAGUCAUUGUCUCGUUAUUUCAUAGAGUGUGAUUAAAUUUUAUAUAUGCUUUCCUAUAAACUUAUCAAGUACAGAAGACAACCUUGAAGCACUUUGGAGUUCACAGGACCAAAUCAAAAAUAAAGGCAAGAAAACGAAGAAGAACAAGAUUCAAGGUCAGUAUCUACAAUAGCAUAAAUAUUUUUGAGAACUCCACCAACAUCAGAUUAUCAAACAGAAGAGAUAUUGAAAAAGAGAGAGAGAGGGAGAGAGAAAAAGCAAACACAAACUGUCAUUACAAUACCAAAUUUAUAGAUAAGUUUCAAAGAAUCUGCUAUUGAGAGAUUAAAGAAACCUCUUCUGCAGAGACCAUAAGAUUUAUACUAGCACUCUCUCGAACCAGCAAUCUCUAAACCGACAUAGUUAAAAUGUAAUAUGUUUUGAAGGGAGAUUAUUAGAAACAUCGGUCAGGUAAUGAGACUAUACUGGAGGAGAGGAUCAAAGGGGUUUUUUGAGAUUACUUCCACUUCUUGAAUUUGCCUCCUCCUCCAAACAUACCAUGUUUCCCGUGCUUGCCAUGCUUUCCAUGCUUUCCGUGCUUGAAUUUGCCUCCAUGCUUUCCAUGCUUGAACUUACCAUGACCAUGACCACCAAAGCCAUGAGCAGGGCCAUGGCCAUACCCUCCAUGUCCUACAGCAUGCCCGUAAGGGUUGUGAGAGGCAUGACCAACAUGGUGAGCUCCAUAGGCUGCUGCAGCCCCUGCUAUCAUGCCUCCGAUUCCACCACUAGAAUGUCCUGAUUAAAAAACAAAAAAGUAUUACAUGGAGAACCCCAAAUUACCAGAACGGAUCAAAGAGACCACAAAGUUGUUCAUAUGAUAAUUGCUAUCGAAUUAAAAUGUACUUGUACUAGAUAGUUAAGGUUAAAACAUCAAUGUUAUCUGAAUGCCACUUCAAAAACACCUAAAAGGUUCAAUAUUUAGACCAAUAAACACCAAUGGAGCACAAAAAAAGAAUACUAAACUCAUUUGUCCGUAUCUUUCCCACAAAAAACAGGAACAAUUAAGAAACUACUGUCCUGUUAUCAUUUAAACUUGACAAAACGUAGCAGGCUGGUAAUCUAGCAAACUACAAGGCCAGUUCUUAGCUUUUAUAUAGAAAACAACAACACUUACAAACUAUUUCCCUAUUAUCAUUCAAACUGACACAGUAUUCCCAAAGGAUGACAAUCCAGAAAACUUGAAGAAAAAUCCUUAGCUUUUGCACAGAAAACAGAAACAUUUACAAACUCUUGUUCUAUUACCAUUCAAACUUAACAAUAUUUAGCAGGUUGAUAAUCCAAACAAGCUACAAAGUACACUCCAUAGCUCUUGCAUAGAAACCAUCAACAUUUACAAACCAUUUUCCUAUUAACAGCAUCAUGAUACCAAAACUACAAAGAAGAGCACUUUAACGGGAUAAUACCUGAAUGGUGAGCUCCAGGUGCAGGAUAGCCAGCAGGAGGAUAACCACCGGGUGCAGCAGGGUAUGCACCAGGAGGAUAUCCAGCAGGCGGAUAGCCUCCAGCUGGAGGAUACCCUUGUGGUGGGUAACCUUGUGGAGGAUACCCUCCUUGAGCAGGUGGGUAAUGAUGUCCUCCUCCUGGAAAACCAUGAAACCCUUUGUCAUGCUCAUCAUGAUGCUUGUCUUUACCACCUCCCAUUGUUUUUCACUUAAAACCUGCAAGAUUUAGAUACAUCAUCACCAUGGUCAAAGAUCAAGCAAACUUAACAUUUGACUUGGUCGUUUCAAAACAAAUCUGAGACAUAAUUCUCACUGAUCACAACAAUCAUACACGUUAAAGAUAUAACACAAAAAAUGGAUCCACAUACAAAAAUAUCAGAGACCAUAUUCAGCAAUUCGAUCAUACGAAUCCAGAGAAAUAGAGAAAAACAAAGCACAUAACUACAUAUGCUUCGAUCGAUCACGGUUAAUACGUAAGAUUCAAAGAUAAAAGUGCGAUCGAAAGGAAAAUUUACCGAUACGAAUUUGCGAAGAAUGUUAGAGAAUGAAUUGGAACAGAAGAACAAAAGCUUAAAUGGAGAAGAGAGGGAUAUAUAUGGAUGGAUAGGCUUGUUUCCAAAUAUUAAUUACUUAACGCGUUUACCAUUUUUGAAUAAGCAUUUUUGCCUAUUUUAUAUUUUAUUGUUUUCUAGUCCUCGUAUUAUUAUGAAAAUCAUAUGUUAAGCACUCUAGUCUUCAGAACUUCAAUCGUGUCUAAACUCCAGAUACAAUAAACAGUCACAAUAUAAGCUUCAAUACAAUUAUUUGAUCUCUUAAUGAGUAUUGUGAACUUAUGAUGCAUUGAAAAAUAGGUGUUUGUAUGGAUAUUGUGACUAUAGUGGGUGUUUAAAAACCUUAUAAAAGUAUUGGGGUUUCAAUGAAAAUAUGAAAAAUUAAAAGGUGAAGCGUAUCGUAGUAAAGAAAAUAUCUACGACGUGGGAACGCGCAAUGGACACGGAGUUUUAAGAACAUGAUUAAGGAAAAAUAUCUUUUUCUGUAAUGUAAUUAUUUAAAGUGUCUAUAAAGUCUUCAUCCUUUUAAUUUGAUAAAUUCCAAAAAAUAUUGGUGGUGAAUAAAAUAAAGAAAUGCCAAUAGAAUCUGGUCCUCCACAAAUCAUAAUUAACUUUUACUUUAUAUCUUGUAAUAUUAAUUAUUCAAACAAGGAGUGUUGAUAACUCCCAUCACAAAACUAUAUCCUAAAAGUAAUAAUAACAACAAAUCCACUAAAAAGUCAUUGUCAUCAAAUGAAAACUUUAUAACUCUGUUCUUUGUACACAUCUUUAUGCAAUAUUUGUUUUUCAUCUCUCGCAAACAAACUCAAACCAUUCAGCGUAGAGUAUAUGGCUUCAUUCUCCAUAUGACCACGUUCUCCUACAGUGAAAGUGUGAUUUUUUCCGUUCACUUGAAUCACGCUUUCACCUGGAUACUUCUUAAUGUUCCAGAGUUUCAUCAUUGAUCUGAUCCUCGCAAAACCAUCCCACAUACCAGCAGCUGCAUAUAUGUUUGACAUUUCUACAUAAGGUGCUGCCAUUUGCGGUUCCAAGUUAAAGAGACUGUCAGCCGCUUGCUCAGCUAUCUUUACAUUACGGUGGAUCUUGCAGGCACUAAGCAAUGCACCCCAUAUGCCAGCAUCGGGUUUAGCUGACAUGUUAUGGAUGAGUUCUAAUGCUUCGUCGAGCUUUCCUUUUCUUCCAAGAAGAUCUACCAUACAAGAGUAAUGGUCUAGUCCAGGACUGAUGUUGUAUACUUGUUUCAUGAUGUGGAAAUACUCCCAACCUUUUUCUAGAGAACCCGAAUGAGCACAAGCUUGAAGGACGGCAAGGAAUGUUAUGUGGUUUGGUUUAUAAUCCAAAUCUAUCAUCUUGCUGAAAAGUUCCAUAGCUUCUAGGAAGAUUCCGUUCAAAGCAUAUCCAGCUAUCAUUGUAGUCCAUGUGACCAUAGUUUUCUCAGACGUGUUAUCGAAGAUGUCUCGAGCUUCGUCUAUACUUCCACAUUUUGAGUACAUAUCAAUAAGAGCAUUGCAAACCAUGACAUUAUCUUUCUUGCAACCGUACAUAUCUGCUCUACCAUCGAUCCAUUUUCCAAUCUCCAGUGAACCAAAUUUUCCACAACCUGAAAUGAGGGAGAGUAAGGUAACUAAAUCUGGAUUCACUCCAGUUUUGGCCAUGGCAUGAAAUAAGGCCAAAGCUUCAUCCAUAUCCCCUUUCUCGGCAUACCCACUUAUCAUCACAGUCCAAGAAACACAUGUUCUGGAAGGCAUUAUGUCAAACAAAAGCCUCGCUGAACAGGAAUCCCCGGAUUUCGAAUACAUAGAAAUGAAGGUAUUAAUCGCUUCGAUAUCUUGAUCUGUACCGAGAUGGAUUGCAUGAGAAUGAAUCAAUCUUCCUUGGGUUAGUGUUUGAGGGUUUUGACACGAUGCAGCCAAGUUAAUAAAGGUGCUCAAAUCCGGCUUAAACUCAUCACGCAGCAUUAACCGGUAGUGACCAAAAGCAUCAAAUGCUUCACCAAAAACUGCAAAUGCUUUGAACACAGAGUUCCAAGACACAACAGUUCUGUCACCUCUGUCAAUAGCUUCGAAAACUAACUUUGCUGAAUCCAAAUCACCACAUUUCCCAUAAGCAGAAAUCCAAGUAUUGGAAACUGUAGCUUGUAAAUCUACACCUAAACGUAUCCCAAAAGCAUGCAUGACCUUCAAAAGCUUCAAACUUUUUUCAAACGAUGCAGAUUGAAUCAAGGUCAUAACAGUCACAGAAUCAGGUGGGAUCUCGUCGAGCCUCAUUUCACGAAAUAAUGAAAACACCUUAUCCGUGUGACCCGACUGACAGAAUCCAGAUAGCAUUGCGUUCCAAGUGGUAGCAUCUCUCACAGGCAUUCUCUCAAACACCUUGGCGGCAUAAUCCAGAGAAUCACAUUUUACAAACAUAUCAACCGUCGCUGUCCCAACGAAAACAUCAGACCAAAACGGAGACUUUAUCAAAUGGGUAUGAACCAUCUCACAGUACCCAAUAUAAGCGAGCCUAGCACACGCCUUCGCCACAAAUGGAAAAGUAAAGUUGUUCGGUUCAAAGCCUCCACGCUUCAUUUCUCGAAACAGAAGAAGUGAUUCCACCGGAUCAUUUCGAUUAACCGCUUCACGUACUUGAAAGUUCCAAGCAUUAACAGACGACAAUCCAGGAAAACACUUUAACCGUCGGUGAAUCAAGGACAUGGAUUCUCUCUCCCUUUGUCUCCAAAUGACUCCGGCGGGAAAGCAACAAUUAUAAAACGCACCGUUUAUUCGUUGUUAAUCGUUUUUUGGCUUUAUUGCUCCCACGUGGCUAACUGGCUUGUCACGUGAUCAAAUUAUAAACAGUCAUAGGCUCAUUUAAGCUUCAAAAAGACCAAAAUAUACAACGACAAAAAAACCAAUCGUACAUAUCUCGCAAUCUCAUUCAGACCGGAACCAUGACUCUUGGUACAGGACAAUUGACAUAGCAUAGACUCACUUUCUCCUUCUGUUAGUGCUGUAUCGAUACUUACGAGAUUCUUCUUCCGAUGAUAACUCAUGCUUCUGCAGCUUCUUUCUACUUCUACGGUUUGAUUCCGAAUCAGAUUCUGCAUUCUUCUUGCUUCUGUAUCUGUCAGAAAACUCUUCAGGAUCUUCAUACACAUGCUUUUCUUUCCCCUUCACACUCCUGUGAUGCCUCUCAGAAUCACGAUCAUCAUAUCUCGGUUUCCUCUCGGAUCUAUGACGAUUUUCAGACUCCAUAUCGACGUAUCUGUGUCUUCUCUCAUCAUAUCUAUGCUCUUUCUCGACUCUAUGACGCUUUCCAGACUCUGAAUAAUACUGUUUCUGACUUUUCUCUGAAACAGGAUCGUUACUAUGCACUUGCUUUCUCUCCCUGUGAUGGCUUUUGUAAUCAUCUUCUGAUCUUUUCUUUCUACUACUAUGACUUCUAUAAUAAUCUGAAUCAUCGGAUGAAGCAGAUGGUCUAUCCACGAUUUCCUUCCGUUUCUGGUGCUUCUCGUCAUCGUAAUGCUUUUCUCUGUGAAUGUUCCCUUGGUGGUAAACCUCAGAUUUUAAUGUUGCAGACGGAUCUACAUGCUUGGUGUGUCUUCUCCUACUCAGACGGUAACUGUCAGAGUCUGAACCUUCAGAGGAGACUGAGUCAGAAUCAUAAUGCUUCUUGCUCUUGUUCUUAAGUUUCUUGCGCUUCUUCGAUCCCCUCUUCUCUCUACUAUCUUCUGAGCCUGUUGAAGAUUCAUCAGUUUCCUCAAUAGUCCGAGAUGAAUGCUUCUUGUGCUUUUUGUUCUUUUUGGAUUUUCUUUUCUUAUCCGACGACAUACUCUUCAGUAAUUCGAUUGGGAUGCUGCCCUCAAGGAACCCUGAGAUAUCAAAAGAAAUUGACAUUAAGUAACAAUAUAAAAAAUGAGAUGGGAUUUGUGAAAAGAAAAACCUUUCUGAAUUAAGAAAUUCACCUCCAUAUUCAUCAAAUAUAUCUUCAGCGACGAUUUGUUGAUUUGGAUCAUCAGGAUCAAAACCACCACGAGGAGGACUCAAGCCGGACUUUUGUUUCAACUCCCACUUCAGAGGCUGCAAAAAGUUAGAGAGCAUUUCCGGUUAAUGAUACAUAAACCAUUGAACCUUCAGUUGUCCAUACCUAAGCCAACUAAUUAACGAAAGAUUCUGAAAGAUGGGGAAUUAAGAGAAAUUAAAACCAACCUCACUGGGAUCUGUAUGUGCAAUGAUAGCAGUCAACGGAUCAUCUCUUUUCAAUCGAAGUUCUUCAUUUGGCAUUACUGCAUCCUUUAAUGGACAGUCACGAUCACCGCUUUGAUGCCCAAAGUUUCCACAUCUCAGACAUUUCACAUUACGCACUUCAACUGCAAAUGGCUUUACUCGCCCAGGAAUACCAGUCUCCAUCCUGCACAAUUCCAAUCAUAGUAUGUGAUGAGAAAAAUUUCAUUUACAUGUUGCAAUAUUUCCACAAUGACACUGGAGCACUUAAUGAUUACUUAAUGAUUAACAUAAUUGCAAGAGUAAAAAAAUAUGGCAAUACCUUGGUGCAUUUUUAAGGACCUCAAAUUCUUCUUCAGUAGGAAGAGCACGCCCAAACACAUCUUUGGGUCGUGGUUUCUUCCUUUCCUGACCUGUGCGGUCUCCCCCGCCUUGUGAUUCUUCUGGUCUGCAUUGCGCCAGAGAGAAAACAAAUUCUUGUCAAAUUUCCCCCACAAGGAAUUAACUUAAUAUCAUCCUAGCAAUAAUCUGUCAAACCAAAUAUCUGUUUCUGUCAACAUACCUAGAACCAACAUUGUCUUCCGCCAUUGGAUCCUGAGUUGAAGAACCCUGACCCUUGUGUUUAUCAUCCGCGUAUUCUGCUGCUUUGGCACUUUCAGGAUCAUAGCCAGGUGGACGAACAUACAUAAAGCUCACAGCUUUCAUCGUUUCGAUCUGCCCAUUACUCUCAGGGUCAAUAUCAUGUAACACAAAACUAAGUAAAAUCGCUAGUUUCACCAAAUUUCAAUAAUUGUAUAGGUUUUGACAUCUACCUCAGGAUCAAAAGAGUUCCAAGAGUUAAGACAAUAUUUCAAAAGGAUUGUGAUUGAUGAGAGUCAGCAACAAGUGGAUAUUACAAUUCAGUCUAAAUAUCCGAAACUAUCCUCAUCAGAAUACAGAAACACUAAUCUGAAGCAUUAGGGCACUAGUGAACGAAGUUGUACAGAGAAUUAGAGCUCAAAGCAAGAUCUGAAUAACAUAAACCCUAAUCUGGCUGAGAAAAGAACUAACCUUCUCUCUUUCUUUCUUGGAGAUGAGAGCUGCUUGCUUGAAGAAUUCCUGCUCUUGCGCAAACUGUAAAUCCAGAAAAAAAGGAAGUAAGAAAAACACGAAUUGAAUCAAUUAAGAGAAAAUGGAGAGCAUGUGCGAUGAUGUACCUCGCGGGCCACUUCUUCGGCUCUGCGAUCGUGUUGGGCAUGAGUCUGCUCGGCGAUCCAUUUGCGGCGCUGAUUGGGAUAAGAAAGCGGAUGCCAUGGCUUCUGGUUCAGGAAAGAGUGGCUCCAAGCGGUACCGGAUUUGGUCUUGUAAUCAACUUCUAAGCUACCGCCGGUGACCUUCCCGCCGGCGAAUCUCUUGCUCAGCCGUAUUCCGCUUCCUUCCCCUUCGCCGUCCAUGUCCCGAUGUGAAAAUUACCCAAUGCCUCCGAUGUGAAAAAAAGUGUUCGCUUAUGCCACCGUUAUAAAAGUUAUUUCUUUUUUCUUUUUCUUUCUAUCGAAAAGGUAGCAAAAAUACUUUGAAACCCUUGAUAAGUUCCAAUAAUUACUGACCCAACCAUCCUUUUUUGGAUUAUCGACCCAAACCAACUAAAAUAUGGGUCAACCACCCAGAUCUAAAUCCAUUCACAUCUUUUAUCUACUUAAAUAAAUUUAAAACUUAAAAAUAGCAAGGCACGUAUUCUUCUCUUCUUCUUCUCUGUGUUUUUUUCUCUUUUUUUUUUUUAUUGUCAAAAAUUUUCUAUAUUCUUUAAACACACAAAUCUUACUAAAACUCCUUCAAUGUAUAAACUUCGGCACACAUCCCGCUUCCGAACACAGAUCCACAUUACUCCAAAUCAUCGGAAUCAUACCAGCUCUCGCCAGCUCCGAUCUAUGGCCAAAUCAAGGUUUCUACGUCUAAAUCCAUGAUUCUCUCAACUCCACCUAUGUCUCCCUUUCUCUGAACGCGCUAUAGAUCUCAUGCUCAGCAACAGUCUCUAGCUUGAUCCCAUCCUUGAGUCCUUCGAAUUCGCUACGCCGGAGCUAUUCUUGUCGUGGUUCUUUCACCAGCGGCUCUACCCAAGAGAUAUUUAGCUCUUUGAGUUUAUUCUCUUCGUUUUGAUUUCAUAUCAAAGGCUUUGAAACAAAACGAAGUGGAUUUUUCUGAGCUUUUGUACCUCGUCACCUUGGACGCUCCGGUCAGUUUUCCCGUCCAAUGAGCCCCAAUCGUUUAGAUAAGUUGUAGUCGUGGAAGAGAUAGCGGGAUGGUGAUUCAGUACAUUGUUGCGUUUUAUGAAACUUUUGCUUCACGGAUUAGCAAACUCAGCCGCUCUUGAAGCCAAGGCCGUGAAGAGAUCAUUAAAAAACAGAGAAUUGGCUCCCACAAGUGAUGAAGAAAGACUCUUGAAAACCAAAAUGAACGAUUUAUACAAAGAUCGAAACCUCCAUUCUCAGAACUAAAACAGAGAUCAAUAAUAGUCACAAGUCAAGCGUAUUUACUAAAAUAACUUUCAUGUAUGCAACUAGUUUUGUAGAUACAAUUGGUAUAUCUAGGUACAACUACGUUUCUAGGUUACAUACAAGAAAGUAAUGAUUUUUGGUCCAAUUGGUACAUUUAAGUAUAACUACGUGUGUAAAAAAAUUGCAAAAAUAAAAUAAAAUUGGAUUAUAAAUCUCCACCGAAAAACUAAAAAAAAAAAUAGAGGAAUUAAGAGAAAUUUCAAAAAUUUUUAACUUUUGAAAAGUAUCCAAAGAGAUCCCACGUGUGGUAAAGCGGAUUUUUGGCGGCGGGAUAUUAAUACAAUAUUGUGUGUUAUAAUCAUAGUUGUCCCUAUAUUUACAGUUGUACGUUCAUCCACAUAGUUGUACUUUGAUAAUUUUUGCGUAUUUUUAGUUGGACCUAGAUAUACAUUAUUAUGUUGUAGUUGGUCAAAUAAUUUUUUUCCAUUAAUUAUCAUUUAUGAGGUUUUCAUAGUACAAUUUGCACAAAAUCAUAGUUUUCACAACUUAUUAAUAUCUUUGGCGGCGGGAUAUUAAUAAAAUAUUGUGUGUUAUAAUCAUAGUUGUCCCUAUAUGUACAGUUGUACGUUCAUCCACAUAGUUGUACUUUGAUAAUUUUUGCGUAUUUUUAGUUGGACCUAGAUAUACAUUAUUAUGUUGUAGUUGGUCUUAUAAUUUUUUUCCAUUAAUUAUCAUUUAUGAGGUUUUCAUAGUAAAAUUUGCACAAAAUCAUAGUUUUCACAACUUUUGUAUUAUAGAGAGGGACCACUUACAAAGUCUUCCUUACAAUAUAAGAAGUGUUUUAUGUGAAAACAAGAAUAUGUAUUAAAAAAAUUAUAAAUUUAUAUUUUAUUGAUUUAAAUUUGUUUUUUUACAUUUCAAGAUACGUUUGGUAUCCUCAUUGUUUCAUUAAAAUAAAAUAAAAUAAAACAUAAUUACGAAUUACACAAAAUGUUACAGUUGUAUCAUUUGUACCAGUUGUCCUAUUAUUUUUUAGUUAUACUAUUCAUCAUAUGUCUGAUUCUAAUCUGAUCAGAAGAAGUGACGACCAGCGAGAUAGGCGGGCGAGCUGAGCUCGGGUUUAUGAGGAGAAGCAGAACGGAGCAAAGAAGAGAUGUCUUUCUCUUAUAAUGCCAAAAAGGAAAAAACCAUGAUUUCGUGAAAAUAGUAUUACUAAAACCUUCUAAAUGAUAACUAAAAGUAGAAAAUCUCGUGGUCAACUACAACAUAAAAAUUUAUAUUAAGGUACAACUACAAAUACGUAAAAAUCGUCAAAGUACAACUAUGAAGAUAAACGUACGUGCAACUGUAAUUAUAAUACAUAAAUUUUAUUAAUAUUUUAUCGUGUCAGGCCGACUUUAUUAUAUGUGGGACCACUUUAAUUUAUAUAUAUAUAUAUAUAUAUAUAUAUAUAUAUAUAUAUAUAUAUAUAUAUAUAUAUAUAUAUAUAUAUUCUUGUUUUACUUUGUUUUGAAUUAAAUAUAUUGAUAUAUUUCAUUAAAGGUAAUUGAGGAAUUUCAUAUUAUGAGUGGCAUUCAGAUUAAUGAAUGGCAGGCGAGAUCAUUUUUUCUGAAUUUGUGGCAUAACUGACGCUUUCCCCUCCGAUGUUGGGCUUUUUGGUUAUUUAAAUACUCUUCGUAAUAAUUUAAUUACUCCUUCCGCUUCUUUAGAAUUUCAAUUUGUAAACUUUUGUAUUUAAAAAAAACAUUUAAUUUACCCUGUAUAUUUUGCAAUUGUGAUUAAUUAUUUCUUUUGUUUAUUUGUAAACUUUAAUUAUAUUUUCAGUCAAAUGAUUAUUCAAAUAUAUAUAUAUAUAUAUAUAUAUAUAUGAAAAUUCAAAAUUUAUUAUUAUUGUCCGAAAAUUUAAUUUUAUUAUACCAAUCGUCUCUGCCGCAUCCAGAAGUUUUAUAUGAGGUUCAGUUUUGGCCAUUACUUGUUGGGUUAUGAAGUCUUGGUUACUUGGUUUCGAGAGAUCAUCCCUCGUUGUUAUAGGAAAAAAGAAAUAUUAUCGAUUGGUUGGCUGUGGACAGUAUUGGUAAAUAACAUUCACAGUUUCUUUGAAAGAAAGGAUCUUCUUUAAUGAUUGUGUCAAGUAUUUUUCUUCGGGUUUAAAUUUGUGUACUUCCUUAAUUUUUGGUUUCAAUUUCUCAAUUUCAGCUUUAAAAUUUCUGUUUUGUAAUGUAUUCAUGUUUCUCUUAUAUAUUUUUUUUUGACAAUUGACAAUAUUCAUGCUUCUCUUAUAUAGAGCUUAGUUUUUGGGGAAUACACACGUUUUCCUCUAGUUUAGUUUUCGAUAAUUCUUCUUUCGUACGUCGGUUUAAUUUUCAUUGUUUGAGAUUUGUAUUUUAUCUUGGUUCAGAGACAAAUUUCAAUAAUAAAAUUUGAGAUGAUCAAAAAAUUAUGCGGAAUUGAUUGAUAUGCCUAAGGGGGUGUUAUUGGUUUGUGAUUUAAAUAGAGUUUUAAUGACUUUAAUUGUUAUGUAGAAUCUGUUGUUAUUCAAUCAAGAUUUUGUUAAACUCUCUUAAAGUUUGGUGUUAUUAGUUUGUGAUUUGUAAAAAGUCAUUUAAAAUCUUAAUGAAUAUUAUGUUAUUGGAUUAAGAGUUUUAUAAAGUCAUUAAAAGUUUUGUGUUAUUCAACUAAAACAAAACAAUCUAUGACAAUCUAUAAUUGUUAAUGAAUUCAAUUAUUGUGUUAUUGGUUUAUGAUUUUAAAUACUUUUCUUUACAAAAUAAAGUCAUGAAAAGUAUGCUGAAAUAUUGAGAUUGUUUGGGAGACUCUACAAGAUUAUAGAAAAACUAAUCAACAGAACUAUAGAAAACUCUCUAACAAUUCUUCUAAAUCAUUCACUUAUUCACUUUCUAUGAUUUUAUUAAAGUCAUCAAAACUCUAUUUAAAUCACAAAUCAAUAACACCCUCUAAAUUAGGCAGCCUAUUGCCAUAACCAAAUUUAAUAAUACACGAAUAUAAAAUAUCUAGAAUGGUACAGGCUCAAAUCAAAGUAGAUCGAUUUGAAAGAAAAUAGAAAAAAAUCUCAUAAAAUUGUAUAAAAAUUGAAGAAAUUUUGCACAGAACCUAUAGAAAAGACUCGACAAAUAGAAGAAGGAGAUUCGUUGCUGACGAAGUAAAGGAUCUCACUUUUUUGGUCUUCGCUUCAUCUAAAGGAUCUCACUUUUUUGGUCUUCGCUUCAUCUAUAACUUAUAACAAGUCAGAGAGAGAGUAGUGAGACGGGCCGAGUAAAUCGGAAAGAUGACGGCGCCGAUGAUCCUGAGCGGAGGCGGAUCGGCGGCGGAGAGAGACGCUCGGAUGGCGCACACUGCCAUGGCGUUUGUUCAGCUCUUUAAUGGCGGAUACCAUGUGAUUACAAAAGUAGCUCUCAACGUUGGAGUCAACCAGCUUGUCUUCUGUGUAUGCCGUGAUCUUCUUGCUCUCUCUAUUCUCGCUCCUCUUGCUUACUUCCGCGAAAGGUAUCAUCUUUUUCAACUUCAUUUGUUUCCUCUGUUUUUAGUUCUGAGUUACGCUCUCGAGAAUGGUUUCCUGGUUUUAUGAUCGAUUUGUGGGUUUAUAUGAAGUGAGAACUAUACAGCCCCCUUGUUAUUGCUUGAUCCAUUAGUAUGGAUUUUUGGAUUUUGAUUUAGCGUUUCUCUCUGAUGAAUUUGUAUAAGUUCUUCUGGGUAUUAAAAGUCAAUGUCAUCUUCAUAGUAGAAGAACUAGAUUUCAGAUUUGGAGCAAUGUGUGUAGAUUUAAGUUGAGAUUUGUGUUCCGUUUUGCUUCCACUGUUAGUAGAUUUAGUUACCAUGUUCUCUGAGUUCCAUGUCUCUUCUUCGGGGUUUUACGAGAUAAGUACAUUUGAACUAGGAUCUGGUUUCUCGAGCUAGGCUUGUCUAGUUCUAUCAGUAAAUGAAAGAAUGGUGUGGGAGGUUGUAAUGCGUCAAGUUUAUGCGAGACCACUUUGAAUGUUCUCAAGUUUUCAAAAUCUAAUCAAUGAACCGUGUUCGUCGUUCAUGUAUGUAGAAGGAUCAGAACUCCAAUGAAUAAAAGCCUUCUCUUGUCAUUCUUCUUUCUGGGCUUAGCAGGGUAAGAAAUCAUCUCUAUCCGGUCUAAGUAUCUUGUAUUCAUGUUUAUGAAGAUUAAACAUCUUGGUUGAUCUCAAUUUUGAUAGGGUAUUUGGGAACCAAUUGUUAUUUCUUAUCGGUCUUACAUACACAAAUCCAACUUAUGCUGCUGCCAUUCAACCAUCCAUCCCGGUCUUUACUUUUCUCUUGGCUGUAAUGAUGGGGUGAGUAUGAUUCUUUUUUAGAGUUAUCCUCUUAGAUGUGCCUUCACUUUUGGUUUUUUUGAUGUCUCCUACUUUGUAUGCAGUACAGAAAGAGUGAAUUUGUUGAGAAUCGAAGGUCAAACUAAGGUUGGAGGCACACUUGUGUGUGUUAUGGGUGCUGUCUUUAUGGUUCUAUUUCGAGGUCCGGCCUUGUUAGGAGAUAAAGAUGCAGACUUUGCGAUGAACAAUGAAAUCAGUGCUAAAGGUCAACCUGAGCCUACUGGGUGGUUAGUCUCUGGUUUUCUCGAUCUUGGAUUUGAGACAUGGCACAUUGGAGUUUUAUGCUUGAUUGGAAACUGCAUGUGUAUGGCUACUUUUCUUGCCAUUCAGGUAGAUCUCUUCAUUGUUUCGGUUUCUUUGGUUUGGUUUAGACCAACGCAUAAACUGCAGCCUACUAACCUCUGUGCAUGUGUCUUUUAAUGUGGAUGUAAUGGAAACUCUCCAGGCGCCACUUUUGAAGAAGUAUCCGGCAAAUCUUUCUGUUGCUGCAUUAUCAUACUUCUUUGGUACAGUACUAAUGUGCACAACAGCUUUCUUUAUGGUAAAGGAGCCAUUGGAUUGGAGGCUAACACAAUCUGAGGUUCUUGCAGUUAUAUAUGCAGUAAGUUGCAUCAAGGUUUUUUUUCAUCUACUCACGUCACAUGUUUCUCGCGUAAUCAUUGACACAAUUCAUCUGGUUUUCCUUCUCUCUAGGGAGUUAUCGCGUCAGCACUAAACUAUGGACUCUUGACUUGGUCCAAUAAGAUUAUUGGUCCUGCCUUGGUUGCUCUCUACAAUCCUCUUCAGCCCGCUGCAUCAGCUUUCCUAUCGAGAAUCUUUCUCGGUAGCCCUAUUUAUCUCGGAAGGUUAAAUACAUUUUCUGGAAUCUUUUUUAACCAUCCACAUUCUCACUUCCAAGUUUAAUACUUUCGGUUUCUUUUCCUCCGUGCAGUGUUGUGGGUGGAUUCUUCAUCAUUCUAGGACUCUAUAUGGUCACUUGGGCAUCGUUUAGAGAGCGAAAAACAGCGGGUUCCGGGAUUGGGAUUGCGUCUCAUGGUCUAAAAACCUCAGAGCCUCUGAUAUUUAAUGGGACAGUUAACAGACUAGGACAGUUGUUUUCUGGAUUACCCAGUUCCUCUGUGAAAUCUGCAGACUAAAGAAACCAAAAGAAGUUAAGAUUGAGACCAGAACCCAUUACAGCUAUUAUACAUUUUGUUAACUUUCAUCUCUUAUUAAUAUCUUCUUUGAUUACCUUAAUAUUAAUCACAGAUUCACAGUGUUGCUCCAUUUAAUCUUGAAAUAUACAUCUAAUUCGUAUUCGUUUUAGAUCAUCUAACAUUUUAUCUGACCUUUGAAUUUUUUUUAGCAAUAGAUAACAUUCUGUGCAAGAUAUAUAUUGUCUACACUAUAUGAUAUACAGUUAUAACUUUUUGUAAAAUCUUAGGUUUAAGGAGGAUCUCAUAAAGUUGGAAAAAGCAAUCGAAGAAAAAGCUGUGGCUUAUUUGGUAAGAACACAUAACAAUAGUGGCAAAUGUACGAAUUCAAAAAAGAAGUUGGUUUUAUCCCAAUUUAGAUCACUUUUUCGAGGAAAAAAAAAACGUGGAACUUUUUUCCUUUUUUUUGGCAACCAAAAAAAAAACAUGGGUUACAAUAUUGUAAAGAUAUUCAACAGUUUUGAUAAAUGUUGUCGACGACACACCAUUAGCAUUUUAAUAUCGGCGCCAUUAGCAUUUUUCUUACCAACAAAUAGCCGAAUUUUUUAGAUUAUGAAGAAAGAAAGAAAGAAACUUAUUUCAUUUACGUUUCAACCCCAAACGUUUUCAAAUAUUCUUAAUUUUCCCCAAGAAAUUGAAAAUUGAGCAAGACGUUUUCUGUUAGAAGAGAGAAAAAGAAAUCAGAGGACAAAAAGGCAAAGAGGUCUUUUCUUCACAAAACGGAUCUCUCCAACGUCUUCGUCUUCCUCUGGUCUGAGUCGUGUGGUUUUAGCCCCGAUACUCAUCAGAUCUGCUUGAGAUUCUCGAUUUUUCUUAUACGAAGAAGACGAUUCGUUUAUUAACUCAUGCUUCUUAGACGCAGAGCGAGAUACGAGAUCUAAGUGCUGAUGAAGCUUUGACGGUGGUUGAAGUUUGUUCUUCGUUCUAUGCCAAUGCGUGUUUCUGGUAUUGUACCCUAGCUUUUCAAUUUUAUGAUUGAGUCGUUGUGUUGUUAUCGCAAUGUCGAUUUAACUACAGAUCGCUGUUGUGAUUGUGUUUAUUGAUUUGUGAAUCACUCAAGCUCUCUUCUUAGAUUUUUGAUUGAGCACAUAGAUUGUUUAUUUUCGUGUCGAAUGCAUUUGAUUUGAUUUUUGUAGUUAACAUUUUCUGCAGAAGAAUGAAGAAUCUGAAGAGUUUGUUGUGCUUCUGCAUUUGAUUCUAAAGACAACGGAGAAGGUUGGGUUGAGUUUGUUAGUUUUCUUUUAAGUAAAGCAGUGUGAAGUUUAUGUAGGCAAGAGACAUGGUUUUUGGUAGGAUUACUGAACUUUUUACUGCUGCAUCGAGUCGAUUUUCAGCGGGUUCGCAAUCAUCUGUUCCGUAUAUGCCUACUGGAUCAUCACCGGAUGUAGGAACUUCAGCGGCGGAUUCCAUCAGUAUUGGGAAUGGUGGACGAAAGAAUAGUUUGAAACAUUCAGCGUCUCUCCAAGAUUUUUCUUCAUAUCAUGGGUUUGAUCCUGAAGAAUCCAUUCUUGCUCGGGAAGCUGAUUUAAGCGCUAAACGACAAACUAUAUCAUGGGGACUAAAUGGAUCAAGUUUUUCCAAGGAAAAGGGGAGUGUCCCGAAUGGGACCAAUCCAUCUACACGCCGUAAAUGGAUCCGCGCGGUUAUGAUUGUUUUGUGCCUGUUUUUGUUUGCUUUUCUGGUGUAUAUAGCCUCCAUGUAUAUUUAUACAAACUGGUCACGGGGAGCAUCAAGAUAUUAUGUUGUGUUCGACUGUGGAAGUACUGGGACUCGUGCAUAUGUUUAUCAGGCUUCUAUAAACUACAAGAAAGAUAGUAGUCUCCCCAUUGUUAUGAAAUCUUUGACAGAAGGUAUUUCUAGAAAGAGUAAGGGUCGUGCUUAUGAUCGGAUGGAGACAGAACCUGGGUUUGAUAAGCUUGUCAACAACAGAACAGGCCUGAAAACUGCGAUAAAACCCCUUAUUCAGUGGGCAGAGAAGCAAAUCCCGAAGCAUGCUCAUAGAACCACAUCUCUCUUUGUUUAUGCAACAGCGGGCGUCCGGAGGCUUCGUCCUUCUGAUUCAAGCUGGAUUUUAGGUAAUGUGUGGUCUAUACUAGCGAAGUCUCCCUUCACUUGCCGGAGGGAGUGGGUUAAGAUCAUCAGUGGUACAGAGGAAGCUUAUUUUGGAUGGACCGCCCUUAACUACCAAACAAGCAUGUUGGGAGCCCUACCAAAGAAGGCAACAUUUGGUGCCCUUGACUUAGGUGGCUCAUCAUUGCAGGUAACCUUUGAGAAUGAGGAGCGGACACAUAAUGAGACCAACCUAAAUCUCAGAAUCGGGUCUGUUAACCAUCAUCUUAGUGCAUAUUCUCUUGCCGGAUAUGGUCUUAAUGAUGCGUUUGAAAGGUCUGUUGUUCAUCUUUUAAAGAGGCUACCAAAUGUCAAUAAAUCUGAUUUGAUUGAAGGAAAAUUGGAAAUGAAACAUCCUUGCUUAAAUUCUGGAUACAAUGGACAGUACAUAUGUUCUCAAUGUGCUUCCAGUGUCCAAGGAGGUAAGAAAGGGAAGUCAGGAGUUCCUAUUAAGCUCGUUGGUGCUCCAAAUUGGGGAGAGUGCAGCGCACUGGCAAAAAAUGCUGUUAAUAGCUCUGAAUGGUCAAACACAAAACAUGGAGUUGAUUGUGAUUUGCAGCCUUGUGCUCUUCCUGAUGGUUACCCUCGUCCUCAUGGUCAGUUCUAUGCUGUAUCCGGAUUCUUCGUGGUGUACCGUUUUUUCAACUUAAGUGCUGAAGCUUCCCUUGAUGAUGUCUUGGAAAAGGGUAGGGAAUUUUGUGAAAAGGCUUGGCAAGUAGCCAGAACCAGUGUUUCUCCACAACCCUUCAUUGAACAGUACUGCUUUAGAGCGCCAUACAUAGUCUCCUUGUUACGCGAAGGUUUAUAUAUUACAGAUAAGCAAAUCAUAAUUGGGUCUGGGAGUAUAACUUGGACACUUGGAGUAGCUCUUUUGGAAGCAGGGAAGGCUUUAUCUUCUACAUUGGGACUAAAGAGCUAUGAGAUUCUGAGCAUGAAAAUAAACCCAAUUGCCCUUAUAUCUAUCUUGCUCUUCUCAUUUCUUCUGCUUCUCUGUGCACUAUCACGCGUCAGCAAUUGUUUGCCAAGAUUCUUUAGAAAGUCGUAUCUCCCACUUUUUAGACACAAUAGCGCCUCAGCUUCGUCUGUUCUUAAUAUCCCGUCUCCCUUCAGAUUCCAGCGAUGGAGUCCUAUGAGUACAGGUAACUCACUAUGCAUAAUCUUGAGUUAUGGCCAGUUCUUCACAUUGUCUUUAUUCUCAGUUGUUAACAUUGUCUAUCUUGUGUCUUUUUUUCUGGGAAGAUAUAUAGUCUUAAUAGUUUUUUUUUUUUUUUUUUUUUCUUUCAGGGGUAAAGACACCAUUGAGUCCAACAGUUCGGGGAUCACCGCGUAGGCCAUUUAGUUUUGGAAGCAGCAUACAGCUCAUGGAAUCUUCUUCAUUGUACUCAUCGAGCAGCUGCGUUAUGCAUAGUUGUUCUUCUGAUAGCUUAGGGGAUAUGCAAUAUGACAGCACUAGUUCCUUCUGGUCCUCCCCUCGCAGGAGUCAAAUGCGUCUCCAAAGCCGGAGAUCGCAAUCUCGAGAAGAUCUUAGUUCGUCACUCGCUGAUUCACACAUGCUCAAGAUGUAGGAGAAGAAUUUUUUGGUACGGCUUUUGUCACUUCCACACCCUCCUAAUUUUUCUCUUUUUUUUUGGUCAUGAGAAUCAUAGUAUAAAAAAAAAAAGGGGAAAAUUUCAUGAGCAAAAUUUCCUUGUUUCAGUUGACAUGUAAUUCUUUUUAUACCAUAUACUUAUAUAUGAUUACUAAUUUAACCUCAGUUCAACUAUCUAUCACUCUCUUCCUCUUUACCCUUCUUGUAUUUCUCCAAAUUCUUUCUUUUUACAGAGCCGGUCCAAAGUUUCUUGGGUUUUGAGCAGCUACAAAGGGAAGAAUCGACUCCCAGAUUGAGAAUAAACCCUGUACGUGCUUAUUUUCUGCUCCUUGCUUCGUAAUUCUUAUCAUCAUAUCUAAAGGAAGACAAAAAGUAGAAUCUAUUAUGUGCUUGGACUUCAUUUCAUUGCAACAUUCGAGGCUAAAAGUGUCAUUGUCAUUUACCAUAGAAAUUGGAAAAUAUCUAAUAUCAACAAUUUCCUUAUGUUAGAUUGUAGAGCUCAAAUCCUUUGGGGACCAUUGUGUGUGGUUGGCAUUUAGAUAAACAGAGCAAUCAUAGUAACUAUCACCUGAACAAUGACUUUAUCUUCCUAUGGAUCAUAUUUCAAAUAUAUGGUUUAGAUUUUUGUAUAUUGGUCGAAUGCUUAGAUUGAUUAAACCACUCCUAAUGUUUAACUUGUGGUAAUGGGUUCACUGUUCAGUUCAUAAAAUAUGAUAACCUAAUGAAAAUGUUUAUCCUAAUGAUCUCUAUUUCAAUAGGUUUGGUCAAUUUGUACAGAUUGCUUCUUGUUUUUAGUCGCAUCGAUCGUUAAACUUUUUUUGCCUAACUGGUCUAGCGAAAAUAGAUCUAGAGGAUAGGUAAUUGGUUCUUAAGACUCGAUUACCUAGUAAAACAUUUGGUCGGAUCGAUUCGAAAUAUGUGACGAAACAAACAAGUCUGUCUCAAUAGUUUUCAUUGCCAUAAAUGUCAAAUAUUGUUUUUUUCAUAAGUCUCAACCAUCACGUGAAACUUGAUCACAAAAUUUGGACAGACAUUUCUUUAAAUAAAUGUAAAUAAUUGCAUCCUUUGGUCUCAAAACGAAAGGAUAAAUCAACAUCUAUGUCAGUGUUACUCUCCGUAUCGGUCACUCUCGUUCGUUUAUUGCUUUGGCCACUCGUUUGCUUUGAUCCCACUCCACCCAACAAAAUCAUUCACAAUAAUUUCAAGGUUUGCAUAAUACUACUACUUGUUUUAAGAGGUUGCAUUUUUAAAGGUCGUUGUAUUUGCUAUAAAUGACGUUGGGCCAUAUCCAUAUCCAGACCUCAUGUUUUGCUCAAAAUAAUGAUGUUUCGUUGGUCCCAUCACUAAAACACAAUCUUUUUCACGUUCCUAAUUUAUUUAUCUAAACCACAAAUCCUUUUUUUGUGCAUUAAUUUGCUUUAUCCAUUAACUGAUCUUUCAUAUUUCGACUGAUAGGUGUUUCAUAAUUUUAUUAUAUCACGAACAUUGUAUUCAGUUUUUAUGCUUAAGAAACAACAUUGGUACAUGCCACAUUGUCAUAUUCGAGUAAUUAAAACCUAGAUUUUUCAUAUUUGUAUUUUCAAUACAAUAUACAUAUUCCAGUUUUGUUCUUUUAAAGAUAAUAUGAAAUAUAAAAAUAUAGUUGUUAGGUUUUAUAAGAUCUGAUAACUCUCGGAAUGAAAUUAUAGAAUGAAUAUUUAUAAGAUUUGUAGCCAAGAACAGAAGCAGAAUAUUUGAAAGAAAAAAUAAUAUUUAUAAGCUUUGGUAUGUUUUAUAUACAUCGACCACCACCAAACUAAUGUAGACUUUAAUGUAUAAAUGCAACAACACUAUGCGUUUUGUUUUGUUGUACGGAACGUAAUUAAGAACUUAAUUAUUCCACUAACUAUUGCAGUUACCUAUAGUUAGGUCACUCUCCUUCACAAAUAACCCAUGGAAUCCGUACGGAACCCUUCGCGGUAGCCUCACGGCGGCGACGAUUUCAAGCUCCGGCGAUUUCGCGUCCAUCACCAGAAAGUUCGAUUCUCCAGUCACUUCAUCGUGAACAUACGUCACCACGUAACCAUCAUCCUCCUCCGCCUCCGGAUUCCCAGGAUCCCUAGCUACGAAAAACGGUUCACCACCGUAACAACCUUUACCGUACAUUCUACGCGCCACCGUACAAUCAUCCCGAUCUCCUUUAGACACAUCAAGCUUCACCACUCCGGAGAUUUUUGGCAUCGGAUCUCCAAUCGCCGCGUAAACGUACCUGCUCUGUCUCCCAAGAAACGCCGGAUUAAUAACCGCGAAAUCGAGAUUCCUCGCUGAAAUCGGAUGACGUGUCACAAUUCCGGUGACGAGAUCGAUCUUCACCUUCUCCACCAAAGCGUGAACCAAAUCCAUCCUCUCUAAAGUAUGUUCAAUCGACAUAAUAUUCGGAGCGAUCAAAACGACGGAGUUUCCAUCGUCUUCAUCCCAAGCAUUAAUGGCGUGAAUGAUAUUAAAUCCAGGAACUUCGAACCAUUUCAUCUCCGAUUCAUCUCCGGCGUACUUUGGAAUCACUCCAAGCCUCGGUGUUUUUCCGUUAUCAGUACCAACCGGAGAACCACCUUCAAACAUCAAAUCCAUCGGAUUCAUCCUCAUCCCAAUCUGAAUCUCUGCGAAAAUCGCGUGACGUUUCGUGAUCGCGAAGUCAUGGAGAAACGACGGAGACGUCAUCGAGAAUAUCGGAACGUCUCUUUGUUUUUUCCCGGCAGAAUCAAACCGGAAAAACGUUAAAAACGGUGGAACAGGACCGUACCGGAAAGCGAAAGUCUCUCCGGUUAUUGGAUCGGUUUUGGGAUGAGCUGUCAUACUCAUCGCUAAUUUCCCGUCGAAAUCGUACCGUCCGAUCGUUUCUAUAUCUCCAGAAUCCGUUAAUCGGACGACGUAGGGUAAAUCAGAUUCUCCUAAAGCGAAGAGACGGUUACAGAAGAAAGCUAGACUCGUAUUCGCUAAACCAAUGCCGUUAACCGGAUUAUACUGUCCGGUUAAAACUCUAACCGCCGUUAAAGCUCCACGAGCUACUGACGCCGUUACACCGUUAAAUCCGGAAAACACGUUAGGCAUAACCGGAGCUCCGGUUUGUUUCUCGACGUUGUACUUAUAAGUCUUGACGUAUCUGCUACAGAGAGUGGCUUUACCAUUAUUGAUUCGAAUCGCGUGAAGCAUACCGUCGCCGUCAAAGAGAUGGUAAGGACCACGGGGGAGAAACUGUGGAUUUGGACCGUUACGGAUGUAAGCACCGUUAAGUGACGGCGGAAGAGAACCGUGGAUGAUUUCACAGUCUGUUGGAGGAAGCUCGUCGAGAACAGGCGCGAAGUUAUCGGAGAGAACGUGUUUUGGAUCGACGGACGGACGUGACGGUGGAUCGAUGAACGUGUUGAUUACAUCUUCGACGGUGGUGAAGAGAGCUGUUGCGAGAGUCAUUUCUGGUCGGGGUUUCGCCGGAUAUGAGACUGUGGUGUGAUUGGUUCGGUUGUGGAGUUUUUUAGGUUUGUUACGACGAUCAUUGUUGUCGCUUGGGUUUGAGAUCGGAGUACGUUCUUCGACGACUGCGGAGUUGAUACGGAGGAGGAGAGGAGAGGAAGAUCGGCGGCGAAGAAGAGAGUGGUGAAGAGAGAAUGUGGAGGAGAUGAAGGGAGAAGAAGAAACAGAGUCCAUUGCUGUGUGUUUGUUUUUUACUUUCUUUGCCUCCACGUUUAAGGCUGUGAAGGAAUAUGAGUGUGUUGUGUGGGGCUAUUUAUUAAAUUAUGAAAAUCAAAAUUCAACAAUAGUUGUGUAUUUUUGAAACUCAGAUUUUUUUUUAUUUUUGAUGUGAAACUACUAUUAUCCUUUGGUUCGUUGGUAGUUUAUGUGAAGUUCUAAUCUACAAAUAUCGGUUUUUCUGUUUUGUUAUUUUCACAUACGAUGACAUUAUUUUCCUAAAUAUCAGAGGAAUUAUCUUGUAUUUUAUGUGCUACAAAACAAUUCAUCAACUUAAUUUGACAAAAUUAAUAUCUGAUAGUUUCAUCAAAAUAAUUUGAAUUUGUAUAUUAUUUGUAAGUUUUUAAAGAUAGUUUCAUCAAAGUAUAGUGAAUUCAUAUAUAUUGUCUCGUUCGUGAACAAUGUUUCCCGUCCUGCGUUCUUUAAGCCACUUCAGUAUUAUAGAGUUGUUGACAAACAAAAAUGAAAAAAAAACUAGGAUAAACAUAAUGGCCAUUAGUCAUAAUAUAUAGUAUUUAAUUAAAUUUGAUCGUUUUUUUUUGGUUCACCUACAUUUUGUAGUUUGUUUGUCAAAUAUCAGUUUUUUUUUUUUUUUUUUCAAAGUAUUAGUUAAGAUAUUCUUUAAUUUUGUUAAAUUUUAUGUUUCUUACAUUUCUUACAUAUUUGAGUCAUUUUCAAAAACCGUGUAUGGGGCAUUCUAGCUACUACAAUGAUUUAGCGAUAACAACAAAAAUAUAUUUAUCAAAAAAAAAAAAAGAACGUGAAAUGGGAUUCUUGGUCUGUACGUAGUUGUUGAUGAAAAAGUAAGCUCGAUUAGGCAUACGAGGCCACGAGUGACAGACAUUGCUCGGAAUUUCAGCACCCACAAAUGUGGAAACUACAACAUGUUAAAUAGAAAGAAUAAUGUUUCUUACACCAAGAAUUGUGAUUGUGAGAAGGAUACAAAACUACUAAUACCAAACUAUAAUGUCGCGUUAUAUUAAAGGAGGAAUAAAACAUUUAGUCGUUUUUUUCCGUCACUUUGGUCGGGGAAAUUUUUGUUUUUUUUGUAUAUUUAUGAUUACUAUUCUUGACUACAAAUUAAUUUCGAAAAACUUAUGAAAGUGGAUAAUCAUCAAAAAUAUGAAAGAGAGAAUGACAUGUAAUGGUACAAGUGUUGCAUAUUUGGAAAUUGAAAUUGCCACUCUUUGGGGUUAUGCAUGCACAGUUCAUUUUUAUGUGUUUAUUCCUACGUUGUGAAUUGUGAUCUUCUAGAUAAUAUCGAACUCUCUAUUACUUUUAUUUUUCAAACUAAACUAAUACAAGCUUAUCUAUUGAAAUUAAUUUUUAUGUGAUUUAAGUCUGAUUGAUUAAAAAUUUAAAACUGUAGUUCUUUUUUUUUUUCUUUGGCUUUAAAAGUCCCAACCAAUCCUCUUAGCUAUUUUUUUCCUUUUUUUGGUAGGGACCAAUCUUCUUUAAACAGACAGAACAAAAGUUUUAGAAUUCAGCAAGAUUAUCGUGUUUGGAUAAUUGAAUGACUUGAACCGAAAAAAUCAUUUCCAAAAAUCCAAAUCUCAUUCGGUUUACUUGGUUCUUAACUUGUCACUAAAACCAUGAUCGAAUCGGCUCGUCUUAUAUAAGCUUAGCUGUUGAGGCCCAAAGGGAUAAAACAUUGAAAUAUGGAUUCACGGGAAAGUCAAAAUUUAGCUGGAGGCCCAAAUCCAUUAGAUCUGAUCAGAAAACAACAGUAGAGUUACUACAACAAACAACAAAGCUCCAAGUCUCCUACUACAAAGGUUCUUCAAACACAACAGAGACACCGAGAAAGAAAGAGAGUGAAUUUACAAAUGGAGUAGAGAGAGAGAGAGAGAGAGAGAGAGAGAGAGAGAGAGAGACGUCAAGGAACGGUCAAGCGAUCAGAGCCAAGAGGCUUCAAUGAAGAUAUGAGACGAAGUAGAUGAAGUCUCU